AAAGCCGUCGUCACUUAGUAGUGGUGAGGAGGAGGAGGUGAAGAGUAGAGAUAAUGGGGUGGUGGUGGAGGAGGAGACUUGUAAACGGGAGGAGGUGGUGGUGGAGACUUGUACUUGUAAGGGUACUUGGGUGGUGAUGGCGGUGGAGGUGGUGGAGACUUGUACUUGUAAGGGUGCUUGGGUGGGGAUGGAGGUGGUGGUGGGGGAGACUUGUACUUGUAAGGAUGCUUUGGAGGUGAUGGUGGUGGUGGUGGUGGAGACUUGUACUUAUAAGGAUGCUUUGGUGGUGAUGGUGGUGGAGGUGGUGGGGACUUGUACUUGUAAGGGUGCUUGGGUGGUGAUGGUGGUGGAGGUGGUGGAGACUUGUACUUGUAAGGGUGCUUGGGUGGUGAUGGUGGUGGAGGUGGUGGAGACUUAUACUUGUAAACUGGAGAUGGUGGGGGUGGAGACUUGUACUUGUAAGGGUGCUUGGGUGGUGAUGGUGGUGGUGGUGGGGACUUGUACUUGUAAGGAUGCUUGGGUGGUGAUGGUGGUGGAGGUGGAGGAGACUUGUACUUGUAAGGAUGCUUGGGUGGUGAUGGUGGAGGAGGUGGUGGAGACUUAUAGUUGUAAACAGGAGUUGGUGGGGGAGGAGAUUUGUACUUGUAAGGCUUCUUGUGUGGUGGUGGUGGUGGAGAGUAGACCGGAGGAGGCGGUGGUGGAGACUUGUAAUGGUAAGGUGGUGGUGGGUACUUCUUAGGUGGUGGUGGAGGAGAAGAAUAAGUGUAAUCUGCUGAGGUUUCAAAAGGCAAAUUGAGAGACACUGCUAAAACUAAAAGAGUGAGAAAGAGAGAGGUCAUUGAUGACCCCAUUUUCCCCAUCCUUACUUCUAAAAAUGGGUUUAAUUUGGUUAUGCUCUUAGCAGCCCUCUUCACUCCCUUUAUAUAGACUUUGUUUUAAAGUUACAAUCAUGAUAAAAGUGUGAAGGUGGACCGAACCUUCAGCAGCAUUGAAAAAAGACGUUACGUUUAGGUUAUUAGCAUGGUAUGACAUAAUAAUUCUCUAUUCUCUUCCUUGUCGUUUCCCAUAAAUUUAAUUUAAAUAGUCCAUUUGCUAUAUUUAUAUUUCUGUUUCUCUAUUAAAUAUUUAUCAAAUUCAUUUCUCACUCCUUAUAGAAUAUGAAUAAUUAAUCAUUAAACUCGAUUUAGUAAAUACUUUAAAAAAUGAUUUAUCUUAUUUUUAUGCUUUAAUUAAGGCAUCAAAUCAUUAAUCCCAUUUGAUAUUAUGAAAAUUUAUCACUUAAUUGAUCAAAAUGUGAUUCUUGGCAGGAAAACAUAAUUUACUUUCCUUAAAAUGUAAUUUUUAUUGAGAGUUAUUUUUCCACUAACAAUAGAAAGUGAUUCUCUUUAUAAUUCGUGAAAAAAUUACUUUCACAUGUAAAUAAAAAUUGUUAGGAUAAAAUUAACUUUUCUUUUAUUUAUGUUAAGGUUACUAAUUAACUUAUUCAACUUUAAUAAAAGAUAAACAUAGUUGUAGCUUGUUUGUUGAUGUUAGUUUUUUGUCUUUACAACUUCAAACCAUUAUUCUAGUGUAAUUUUUUUUUCUUUCUAAAUAGUAGAUAAGUAUCUAUAUUUUAUUUUGCUAUAAGAAAAUUAUAUUUUUUAGCAUACAAAACUUAAGAUAACUUGUAGAAUCAAGUAGUUGUAUACCUAUUACUCUAGCAAUAAUAAUAUUGACAUUGUCUACUUUCAAAUUAAAAUUUCAAAUUAGUUCAUUGCCCAAUUUUCUCAUUAAAAAAAAUUAUAUAUAACAUGUCAACUUAACGAAACUUACAUGAAAUUUUGUAUGUGUUAAAAAUGAAAAAUAUGGCGGUUAUUAAAAAAGAUGUCAUACAUCUAAAUCAAACUACUAAUUUAAAAAUUAGUAUUGAGAUAAUUUCAAGCCAUAUAUGCAAUAUUUGAGUAUACUUGAACUUAUACAUACAAAUUAGUGAGGAUUAAAAUUUUGUAAAUUGUACAUCUUCACAAUCUUGCGUUAAUAUACAAUUUUUUUAAUGUAUUAAUAUAAUGUUUUAGAUCAAGACGUGAAAAAACAUAAUUCAAAUAUUUGUUAAUAGUAAAAAAUUAUUAAUAAAUAUUUAAUUCAAAAUUUAUUAAUAAUAAAAAUUAUUGAAAAAUAUUAAAUACGUUAAUAUUAUUUUUAUUUAAUAAUGAUACUUUUGUACAGUAAUCUUAUAUUCCCAAAUAAGUGUUAAAUGUGUCAAGAUUUUAAUCAAUACUUUCCGGUGAUUACCAAACGUUGUGAAGUAACUUCUUAAACAAUAAUAUUCUUAUCAAUCACAUUCCAUUAAAAUUUUAACAUAGAAAAGCACCAAAACGCCCCCUUAAAAUCGUGGUAAGUCUUGUUUGUCUAAAAUUUAAAUAUUUAUUUUAUUAUUUAAAAUAUAUUAAUUUUCUAAAAAAAAUCAUUAAUAUUUAUAUUUCUAAUUUUAAACAUUCUUUUGUUAAUUAAAUGAUAGUCUAAACGGUUAAACUCAAAUCGAAAGCAUUUUAUCUUAUAUUAGAUUAUAUGAAUCAUAUUAUGGUUGAAAGUAAAAUGUAUAAAAUCAAUACAAACAUCAAAUAUUAAACUUCCACUCAAUAGAUUUUAAAAUUUCUAAUUUUAUCACUAAUCUAUUUUAAGAUUUUUUUAAAAAAAAUCGUACUUUAGAUUAUCUAAUUUAAAAUUUUAUAAAAUUAUUAAAAAAUAUUCUUGUAAUAAAAAAAAUUUGUUUUAAAAUUUUUAAUUUUUUAUAUAACCAAUGAAUUUUUUACGUUUGUUUUAACUGGUUAUCUAAACAAAAUAAAAACUUAUUUAGUUUAAAUAAAGUGGUAAAUGUGAAAGCACCACAAAUCACAACUACAUUAGUUUUAUAAUUGGAUUAAUUUAAUCACCGGCAGAGGAAAUGUGUUAGUUCUAGCUACCAACAAUUCAUUUUAAUUCCUUUAAAAAUAUUAGAAAAAACCAAUUUGAUUUUUAAUAAUAGAUCUAAUUACUUAAAGGAACAUGGGUGAUGUGCACAUGGCAUACAAGCAUAAAAAAGAACAAAAAGAUUAAGUAUCUUUGCAAAAUAUCUCUCUCUGAAAUAAAUAAAACUUAAAAAAAAACAAUUUUAUUAUCAAAAUAAAAAGAAAAUAGUGUUUUUCUUCACAAAAAAAGAAAAGAAAAGAAAUACUAGUGUUUUUAAUUAAAAUAGAGUGAUCUGGGUAGAAUCUUUUACUUAAAUACUGACAUUGACUUUAUAAGCUAUUUUUUAUCAAAAGAAGAAAGAGAAAAGCAUCCGAUUGAAGAUGUGAAUUAUUAAGUUAAAAUUAAUCAUACAUGUAAAAUAUUAUUGUGCUUUUUUCUAGCCCUCCGAAAGACAUUAUGCUUUGAUUACAACAUUCUUCCUCAGAGAUGAGGUUUGAAGAUGAACUCGGAUGCAUUUAGAUUUUUACAAGACGAAAGUAAAUUAAAGGAUGUUAGUACUUGUAUUCCGAUACGCUUAUAAUACAGAAAGCAAGUAAUAUGUGACUGUACAUAAUGGCUAUGAGGCGAGGAUAUGAUACGAGAAGAUAGAGAUGAGAGAUUGCACUUAAGGGGUUAGCACCUCUUUUCUUUUUGUGUUUGGUCCCCAAAGCAUAUCUCUUAUUGGCUGAUGUUGCAAGGCGGUCCCAUAAGUUGGGCUAAAAGUGCUUGAUAGCUAGAAUUAAUAUUGUGGUAUAACAUAUGUCACCCCUAUAUUUGAAUAAGGUUACAAAGUGACUACUUGAAGAUUUAAAAAAGCAUGGAGAUAAUUUUGUUGCGAAAAUUAAAAGUAAGAGCUAAAUUGUUUGGCUUUAUUAGAGUAUAGACUCUGUUAGUCUAUUAUCAUUUUGUUAUAUAGGCUGGAAUAUUAUUAGUAAGCAGUUAGCAGCAGUUAGUCAUACAAGUAUAAAUUCUAUUCAUGUAUUGUUCAAAGAUAAGCUAAUAAUACCAGAAGAGAUUUAACAUGUUCAUUCUACUUUUUUUUGUUAUUCUUCAUAAUACAGUUGUUAACAUGGUCUCAGUCGCCAAAUUUCUUGGAGGUUGCUUCUAUUGUAGAUCCAUGGCCAAUUCCACUGAUUCUACCUUCGCUGGUCGUAGCAGUCCCUCAUUCUCAGUUCAUGUUUGGUUCAAUCGUUUCCUCGUCAUGGCACUGUGAAGUUAGAUGAAGGAAAUUUUGUACAAUGGCAACAGCAUAUCCAAUUGAUAAUUGAAGGAUAUGAACUCAUAAGAUUUUUAGAAGGGACGUUACCUGCUCCGCCUCGCUUUGUGUCAUCUCCGGAUGGAAACUUAGCUCUGACUCCCGAUGCAUCCCUGUUUGUUCAGCAAGAUAAGUUACUCGCUUAUUGGUUACUUUUUACGAUUAGUGCUCCUUUGUUUUCUUGUUUUACAACUGCUAAGACGGCGUGUGAGGUUUGGAGCACUGCGAAUUGCCUAUUUGCUGCUGCCACUAGAGCCAAGCUUUCGCGUAUUAAGCAUGAACUCCAGUCCAUCACGAAAGGCGUGAUGACUAUCAAAGAGUAUAUUGCUAAGAUUCAAAAUACUUGUGCGUUACUCGAGGAAUCUAGAUCAGUGGUUUUAAAGGCUGAAAAGGUAGAGAUCAUUCUUGCCGGCCUAUUGUCUGAUUAUGAUGUCGUUUUAACUCUGGCAUCGUUCUCAACUGAAACUUUUUCGUUAUAAAAGAUUGUUGAUAUGCUUCUGGAGUUCGAAAGCCAUCAGACUCAAGCGGUGAACGACGUACCUUUUCAUGCUCAUUUGGUAGAGGCCACUUCGGCGACAUCCGUGGAGGACUCCGUACGUGGUGGUCGUCCUCCUUCUGGUGCUCGUAGGCGCGACUUUCGAUCUCAGCUUCAGUGCCAGGACUAUGGUUGCUAUGGACAUUUGGUACAAUGCUGUUAUUAUCAGUUCAACCGCGACUACAGUGAUCUGUCUGUUUUGACCAUGGCGCGGGUUUCGCCUGUUCAUGCUGAUCACAAUUAGCAUAACGAUGUUUUUGGCGCAAGUGGUCUCUCGACUAGCUGGUUUUCAUCAACUUGUCCUGGUCCGGACCCGUUCGUGCCUGGACAGUAUGUCGAUUCUUUGGUGGUGACACCGGCGUAUUUCUCUUAUGGCUCAUCAUGGUGAGGGUGGCCACAUUUGCAAAACAAUGCCUCCCUUGUGCCAAGUUUGUUGAAUGUUAAGGUUUCUAACCCUUUUGCUCAUAAUUUUGACGAUGGGGCAGGCUAGGUGUUUGGGCUCGCUGUUGGACCAAGCUCAAAUUGUGGCCAAUUUGGUGGUCCUCACUUACCGCGGAGAAUGGGCCAGCACGUUAGGCCAUUUGCUAGUGUUCCUAGGCCGACUGGUUCAGGCCAAGAUUUUGGGCCAUAUGGAAUUCGUAGGCUAACCAGUGCUGGUCCUAACAUUGGACAGGGUUCACUUGGGCCAAAUGUUAAUUUUGUUAGACUUGAGGGCUCUUUUGGGCAUGGACAAGGACUUUGGCCCACCACUGGCAAUGUUUCAGUGCCAAAUAAUGGGUCAUGCGUUCCAUGGCGCACUAAACUGACGGCGCACAUUAUUGAUUGAUUUCUCACUGUGUGUUGGGUUGCCUCACAUUCUUGAUUUUCAUGUGUCUGAUAUUUUUACUACCUCUGGGUCCAAUGCUAACACGACUCCGUAUGGGUCUAAUUUUGAUAAUGAUAACUCUUACAUUCCUAUGCCUGUAGGGACCUUGUCCUGGUGUCUUAAUUCAGGGUCUAUACAUCAUGUCUAUCGAGAAGCCUCUACCUUGAACGAGUCUACGCCAUACUCAGGUACAUCUCCUCUCCUCAUGGAUGAUAUUACUCCUACAAAAAUAUCAUGUGUUGGAAACUCUAUCUUGCCUACGAAGACUAAGCUGUUUCAUCUAUCUAAUGUUUUGUGUGUGCCAAAUAUACGGAAGAAUCUGCUAUCUGUCUCUCAAUUUGCUAAUGACAAUAAUAUGGUCUUUGAAUUUCACCCGUCUUAUUGAGGACAUCCAGACUCAGGAAAUUUUGCUUCGGGGCCACACUCGUGAUGGGCUCUAUUAUUUUUCGUAGGUUACUCAUGUUCCGUCUGUCGUUGUUCCUUCUGUUCACAACACUGGGCUCCAGAGUCGCAAUGCCGGUGAUGAUGUUUUUACGUUAUGGCACUACAGACUUGGUCAUCCGUCUGCCUCGAUUGUUAAACUUGUUCUCGAUAAGUGUCAAGUUGUUUCAACUAAAAUGUACCUUGAAAAUAUUUGUAUUGCUUGUCAAAAGGGGAAGUCCCAUAAACUGUCUUUUUCAAGUUCUACUACUAAAUAUACGGAUUUGUUUGAAUUGGUUGUCUUUGACUUAUGUGGACUGGCAUCUGUUGUCUGUAGAAAUAAUCUGUAUCAUGUUUCGUUUAUCGACAUGUGUAGUUAUUUUACUUGGAUUUAUCUCAUUAAACGUAAUUCUAAGGAGGUUGAAUGUUUUCUUCAGUUUCAGAAAAUGGUCAAAACUCAGUUUGGGAAAGAUAUUAAAAAAAUUCAAAGUGAUUGGGGUGGUGAGUUUCUUGCCUUUACGUCAGUUCUGGCUAGUCAUGGGAUACUUCAUCACCUCUCCUGUCCAUAUACAUCCGAGUAGAACGAUGUAGCUGAACGAAAACAUCGACACAUUGUUGAGAUGAGUCUUAUUCUAUUGGCCAAAGCUAACCUAUCCAUGGAUUUCUGUGGUUUCGUAUUUUACAAUGCCAUUCAUCUCAUUAGUCUUCUACCGACCCUAGUUCUGAAAGGUCAGUCUCCAUAUCAGGUUCUUCAUGGUAGUGACCCUACAUAUGAUCAUUUACAAGUAUUUAAGUGUUGUUGAUUUUCGUACCUGCGUCUGUUUCUGCAACACAAGUUGGAUUUUCAUUCUCAGCCAUGCAUAUUUUUUAGGUAUAGUUCUCAACAUAAAGGCUAUCACUGCCUCACACCAAAUGGUAAGGUCAUUGUCUCUCGUCAUGUUGUGUUUGAUGAACGUUGGUUUUUCUUUUCUUCAAAUGCUGUGAACACCGUUCAGUUAAGUCCAUGUAUCUCUACAUAUGUUCCUAUUGUUCGGUCUUCAUCUUGCCGCCCCACGACAUCUUCGCUUGUUCGACCCACUGAGUCAUCGACUCUUGCUCCUAAUUGUAGUUCCACGCUGUCUGUUUCAGUUGACACUCCGGCUGAAUUAGGUUUUACUCAUGAGGUGCAUCGGCUCUCUACCUCAUCCCUUGAAUCUCGUCAAUGCGAUCCAACUACAAUUCCAUUGGCUGUUCCAUCUAUUUCUCUGGAAUACUCAUAACACUAUUACUCAGCUAGACCCAAAGCUCUGUCUGUUGAAAUUGUCAACUGUGAGUCGAUCACGAUUGAAGAGGCGCUCGCUAGUAAGGAAUGGCAAUUAGUUGUCCAAGCUGAGUUUGUUGCUAUAAUGGUUAACUCCACUUGGGAGCUUGUUCCCUUACCUCAUGGUCGAAAAGUGAUUAGGUGUAAGUGGCUUUUUAAAAUAAAAAAAUCCUGAUGGGACUAUCACUUGACGUAAGGCUCGGUUGGAAGCAAAGGGUUGUUCUCAGGUACUCAGGUGUGAUUUCAAGGAAACCUUUAGUUUGGUAGUUAAACCUGCUACUAUUAGAACCAUAUUAUCUGUUGCUAUCUCCAACGGUUGGCAAUUUGGUCAGGUAGAUGUGAACAAUGCUUUUUUAAAUGGUGAUCUUAUUGACGAAGUGUUCAUGCAGCAACCUCUAGGCUAUGUUCAGAUUGGUCAAAAUGGUGAGCCCUUGGUGUAUCAUUUGACAAAGGUGUUGUACAGAUUAAGACAAGCUCCACGUGCUUGGUUUGAUAAAUUGAAACGUUUUUUUGUUUCUAUUGGAUUUGCUUUAUCCAAAUCUGAUGUAUCCUUAUUUGUUCAAGUUAAUUCGAAUCCACUAUUUAUGUUUUAGUCUAUAUGGAUGAUAUUAUCGUUACUAGAAGUACGAUCGACGGUAUAAAUGGCUGUAUUCAAUAGUUACAUAAUGUGUUUCCCUUAAAGAUAUGGGAGAUCUUUACUACUUCUUAGGCAUUGAAGUCACUCGGUAGUCCACUGGGAGUCUCCAUUUGUGCCAACGCAAAUACAUUCGGGAUCUUCUUGACAGUAGUUUUUUAGCUAAUGCAAAGAGUGUUCACACACCGAUGGUUAGUUCUUUUACGUUGUUUAAAGAUGUGGGAGAUCGCCUCGUUGAUCCUACUGGAUAUAGAAGUCUUGUCGGUGUAUUACAAUAUGUGGUCUUGACUCUGCCUGAUAUUGCUUAUGCUAUAAAUCAUGUUUGUCAAUUCAUGCAUGCCCCUACUACAGUACAUUUGGUGGCUUUGAAAAGAAUCUUGCACUAUUUAUGUGACACUAUUAAUCAUGGGUUAAUUUUGUCUGUUCAACAUAUUGUCUUUAGUUGGCUAUGCUAAUGCCAACUGGGGACUGGAUUUUGAUGAUCGUAAAUCAACAACAAGCUAUUGUUUGUAUUUUGGGUAUACACCCAUCUCUUGGUGAUCUAAGAGACAACUCUACUGCGUGAGGCGAAGUAUUUUGGCCGCACCAUGGCUGAGGUGAAGUAUCGAAGUCUAGCAACAACUACCAGUGAUGUUACUUGGUUAGUCUCUCUACUAACAAAAUUACAGAUUCAUUCUAUAGAUCCACAUACUAUUUGGCGUGACAACUCUAAUGCAGUAGCGGUCAUUGCUAAUCCGGUCUGACACUCUAAAUUUAAACAUGCCAAGCUUGAUCUAUUUUUUGUUCGCGAAAAGGUCGCUAAUGGUUCUCUCGUUGUCGGUGAGAUUCUAGCAUGUGAUUAAGUUGCUGACAUUCUCACAAAACCACUGUUCGUCUCUACUUUUGCUAGGUUUCGUAGUCUGCUUCAAUUCUUACCUCUUGAGAAGCUGGGUGAAGCCAGGUGAAUAUUAGAGUAUAGACUCUGUUAGUCUGUUACCAUUUUGUUAUUCAGGCUGGAAUAUUGUUAGUAAGCAGUUAGUCAUAGCAGUUAGUCAUACAAUUAUAAAUUCUAUUCAUGUAUUGUUCAAAGGUAAGCUAAUAAUACCAAAAGAGAUUUAAUGUGCUCAUUCUACUUUCUUUGUUAUUCUUCAUAAUACAGUUGUUAACAUGCUUGAUAUCAUCUCUUAGAGAGAACGAGGAGAGAUAAGAGUAAGAGUAUGAGCCAACUAGGGAUAAGGCUCUACCAUAAUACCUUGGAUGCAAUUAAAGUAAGAGUAAGAGCCAACUUGUUUGGCUUGAUAGCAUCCCCUUAUAGAAAAGGCUCUACCGCAUGGCAUGAGAGCAAUAAAAGUAACACUCAAUUUCUUGGGUUGAUAGCAUCUCCUUAGGGAAAAGGGUUUACCAUGUGACAUGAAAGCAAUUAAAGUAAGAGUAAGAUCCAACUUGUUUGUCUUAAUAGCAUCAUUUAAGAGAAAUAUCCCAAUCAAUUUAUUCAAAUAUGUUAAUCAAAUAAUGCAAGUUACAAUGUUCUGUCAGUUUUUCCUUUAAUUGUAACUGGGUUAAAGUUGGUAGUUGUAACUGCUACUAAUAGAAUGGAUACGGUAGAAAUGGUUGCAAGCAACAUAAGCAAAGAUGACUUUAAUGUCUUUGUAUUGACCACGUGAGAACUAUAGAAUGCAGAGAAUAGUAUGGUGAUUGGCAACAGAAUGCUACUAACCUUGAGGAUAGUAGACAGGGAUGGAUCCACGGGGGUUGGGGGCGGUCCCCCCUUGGAAUUUUUAAAAUUUUAAAUUUUAUAUAUAAAUUAUCAUGUAUUUUAAAUUUGGUGUCCACAUUGUAUAGCAUUCACCCCCCUUUUCCAAAUUGCAUUUCAUAUCAUUUGCCCUCUUAAGCCAUAAGGUUAUACUUUAUAUUAACAAAGUAUUUUCCAUUUUUUAAUUAUAUAAAUUUAAUAAUAAUAAUAAUAAUCAAAUAUUAAUAUAUGAUUGGCAUUGAAAGACUAAACAUAAAGGUCCAGUUGAGACUUUAAAGCCAAAUUCCAUAAUUAAUUAAUUGAUUUGGCCCAUACCAGUACAUAUUAGGUUAGCGAAAUUCUUGUAUUUUGAUUUGUAUGUCUUGCUAAGGAAUUAUCUUCCUUUGGUAAGGUGUUGACACUGCCAAGAGAAAAAGAAAGGAUUUUGAUGUCGAGAUUGUGAGCAUAGAGUAAAAAAAAUACAAAUUAUCUUCCUCUUAGCUCCUUAUGGAAAAAACCUCUCGGUAAAUAUUUUUGCAUAAAUUAUGUUUUUUAUUAAUUUGACUUAGUUUUUUUCUUUUUUCCUAAUACAUUGUUGUUUAAUAUAUUCUUACAAUCAUCAGGUUUUUUGACUAAAUUAUGGUCAAUAAAAACAUCGAAUCUAUUUAAAAAAAAAGAGUGUCAGAAAGCAAUAAUGAUCAACCGGUUCCUCAACCUUCCAUUAUUAGUGAAGAAAAAUCAAAUAUCGGAUCUUCCAAAGCUCUUGAACAAAAUAUCAGGUCUUCUUAAGCCCAAGCUCCUAAAUGCGGUAUGGAGUCUUCCCCAACUCCUGAACGAGAUUGUAACAAUCCAUACCCAAUUCGAUCACCAAAUCCAAGUAGAGAGCGCCGCAACUUAAACCAUAUGAAUUGAAUAAUAAAUAUUUGAAAUUUAUUAAAGUAUCGAGUUCUUGGUGUAACCCUCAGUAUAACAAUACGAAACAAUUAAAUCAAUGAUACGCCAGGAAAAAAUGUUUUUAGGCAAAACACAUGGCGGAAGCCUUACAAAAUUUUAUAAGUUUAUAUAAAAUGUAAGAUGAGUUAAUCCCAUACAACAGUUUCAAGUGCAUCGUUGGCGGUUAAAAGAACAUUCAAAAACUAUUCGGCGUAUAUGCCAAUGAGACAAUCACGUGGAACAAGAUAUAGUAGCUUAAACACAUACAUCACUUACCACGUCAUCAUAACAUAUACUAACCAUAUAAACAAACUUAUCGAGCUGCGAACUAACAAGUUCACCCAAACAUCUAGGGUUAGCGAUAACUUAUUAGAAGAGCCCGCCAAACCCUAGAGUUCGCCAAAACCUGGAGUUCACCAAAUGGCGACUCCCAUAGAAUACGCCAAACACACAACCAAAAAUAAAUACUCUACUAAUUUACUCAUUUUAUAUUCUUAGCAUAAACAACUAUGCACCAAACAGUAACUUGAUACAUUAUCUUUCGGGCGAGUUGUUACAAUUCUCCCCCAUUUAGAAACUUUUGUCCUUGAAAUUCUUACCGGUGAAUAACUGAGGAUAUUGUUCUUUCAUCGAACUCUCUCUUUCCCAAAUGGCUUCUUUUGUAUUGUGAUUUAUCUAUAAUACAUUAACCAAAGGAAUUCUUUUACUUCUCAACUCUUUUACUUCCCUUGCUAAAAUACAAACAGGUUCUUCUUCAUAGGACAAGUUUUGCUCCACUUCCAGUGCUUUGACUUGUACCACAUAAUCUGGAUUGGAUUGAUAUUUUCUUAACAUAGAUAUAUUAAACACAUUAUGUAUAUUUGAUAACUCUGGUGGCAACACCAGUUUGUAUGCCACUGGACCAACUUAUUCCAAAAUCUCAUAUGGUUCUAUGAAAUGCAGACUUAAUUUCCCUUUUUGUUCAAACCUUAUGAUCUUCUUCCAAAGAGAAAACUUCAUAAAUGCAUUGUCACCCACUUCGAAAGAGAUUAUUUUCCUUUUUAGAUCAGCAUAAGCUUUCUGGCGAUCUUAAGUUACUUUCAGAUGAUUUCUAAUGAUAAAGACUUUCUCUUCUGUUUCUCAUACUAAAUCAAGACCAACUAUUUUCCUUUUACUGAGUCUCAUCCAAUAGGUAGGAGAUCUGCACCUUCGUCUAUACAAAGCUCCAAAUGGUAACAUUCCCAGACUGUCAUAAUAACUAUUAUUAUACGCAAACUCUAGCAAAGGAAGAUAUCUUUCUCAAUUCAUUCUAAAAUCUAUAAUACAACCUCUAAACAUGUCUUCUAGAACUUGAAAUACUCUUUCAAAUUGCUCAUCGAAUUAGGGAUGAAAGGUAGUACAGAAUCAUUAUUUCGUUCCCAACGAUUCUUGCAGUUGUCUCCAAAAUCUCAAUGUAAACAUUGGGUCUCGAUCUGAAACUAUGGAUGUUGGAAUCCCAUGAGGCGUACAACUUCAGAAACGUAGAGAUUAGCCAACUUUUCCAAUAAGUAAUUUGUGCGGACAAACAAGAUAUGGGCUAACUUAGUAAGUCGAUCUACAAUUACCUAGACUGAGUACUUCUUCGAAAGGAUGAGAGGGAGAGCCAAAACAAAAUCCAUGGUGAUCUUAUCCCACUUCCACAUAGAUAUCUCUAAAAGGUACAACUUGCCUAAGGGAACCUGAUGUUCUAUUUUAAUCUGCUGACAUGUCAAACAAAUGGAAAUGUACUUUGUUAUUUCUUUCUUCAUUUCAAGUCAGUAAUACAAACUUAUCAAAUUAUGAUACAUUUUAUGUAAAACUCUCAACCCAACUCGAAAUGUCGAGUCUGGAUCUCGGGUAUUACUAUACAUAAUACUUGGCAAAAUAUCAAAAUAGUUGACAAAUACUCUUUAUAGAAAACAUUUUCUUAUUAUUUUAACCAAAAGACUAAAUAUUUAAUAACAAGAGAAAAUAUUAAAAACAAAAAAAAAUUAUUACAUCAGACUUGGUACAACUCAUUAUAGUAUAAAAUUUUGUUAAAGACAUACUCUUGGGGCAUAACCCUAAUCUAAGCCACUUUUCCACUAUAUGCAUAAUAACCCACUUCGCCACUAUCUUGGCGUACUCCUAGCAUCGUCACUCCUAAUGCAUUCUCUACCCAUACACCUGAAAACAACAACAUUUUAAGCUUAAGAUAACUUAGUGACUUUUAUCCCAAAAAUACCUUGGCGAGUACUUUAUAUUAUUUGAAGAACAUUUGUGCGCCAUCUAUCCUUCUGAACCACCUUCUUCUGAAUUAAGUGGAUACUAUUAUAGAUUCAACUUUCACUUACACGCCAACUAUCAUACUCUUAACAAACUCACUUAUUCUAGAAUAGUUGUUCACAUAUAUUAAUCACUAAUUGAUACAUUCAUAUUUGGCGAAUACUUACGCAGAUCUGAAUACCAUCAAACUACUAAUCAAAUCAUACCUUGAUCCGAUACCAUACAAACUCAUACUGAUAAUGUACUACACAAAUUAUUCAAAUGAAUUUUCCACUACUUUGUUACAGGACCCCAGAUAAUCAUCAUAACAAUAACUCAAUUUUCAUAUGAUUUCAGAAGAAGAUAUAAUACAACCCAAAUACGGCAAAUUCCAGAUAACUCAGAUUCAACAACUGCUUAACACAUACGAACUCACAUUUAUAAUUUCUUAUGUCCCACAUAACUACGACUAUGUCUAUAUUCAACACUAACAAAUAAUCAUGACGGAUACCCUUCUUAUACAUAUAUGCAUUUCUUUUCUAGAAAUCUCUUAAGACUUACUCAAUUAUAUCACAUAUCUUAUUCAACCCUUAACUUUAGACAUAUCAUAACCCUAUCAUAUCAAUAUCUAUCACAAAAAAAAUCAGGAUUUAUCCAAAACUUACCAUAAAGGUAGAUAAUCAUAUUAUAUCAGACAAACUUAACUAAAUGUGCCACAAAGGCCAAACAAAAUAUGCCUUAAAGGCUUCAUACAAAAUCACGUGUUUACUAUCCCGACGGACUAUCACAAAAGGUGUCAUGGGUUUCUCCCACAUGGACUUAUACAUAAUUUCAUGUAUUGUGAUCUGCCAUUUUGAAUCAUACGUUAUCGAAGGAUACUCCAUAAGCAUACAUACAGACAUAUCUUGCCAUGUGUCUCAGCCACAUGGCUUAAACACACAUUCAUGUACUGUGAUAUGUCAAUCCAGUCUUACUCUUAUUAGAGCCUACACCAUGAGUGUUUUCAAAUCAUAUUAAGAUGUUGUAGGUCUCAACCUCAUAGUCUUACACUUGUUUUCAUAUCGUGACCUGCCAGUCUAGUUAGCAAUAUAAUUGCCUACCAGAGGCUUCAUAGAGGAACAUUUGCUUAGAUUCACUUACCUAGAUGAUCUGUAACACCCCUUACCCGAGACCGUUGUCAGAGUCGAGCACGAGGUAUUACUUAUCUUAUCUUACUAACUCGAAGCAUAAAAACUUGUUUUAAAAAUUAAUUUCACUAUUUAUAGCAAUUUGUCCAAUCGCGCAGCAGUUACUAAAUUAAUUAUAACUCGAGAUACGGAACUUGAAAUUUAACUCCGUAAAUUUUCCCUGAAACUAGACUCAUAUAUCUUCCUACCAUAAAAAUUUUAGGAUUUUUAGUUUAUCAAAUUAGUACAGUUUAUUAGUUAAAUUCUCCCCUGUUUCACAAAUCGACUGCCCUGACCUCUUAUCACUAAAAAUAAAAUGUAUCAUUGUGGGAUUUUCGUAUAGUGCUACCGCUUGCUUCUACAGAAAAUAGACUCAAUAAGGAAUCUAUACAUAUAAACUACAACUCAUAAAUAUUUUUUUAAAAUUUUUAAUGAUUUUAUAAACUCAAAACAGGGGUCACCAAAAACUGUUCUAACCCUGUCUCACCAAAAUUCACAUAUCUUAAAAUAUAAAUUCCUUUUGCUACACCGUUAUUUUUAUGUGAAAAUAGACUCAACAAGAUUUAUGUCAUUCAAUAUUUAAUUCAUUUUAUACUAUCCUAGGUGAUUUUUCAAAGUCACGUCACUGUUGCUGCCUGAAUUCUGUUUCUUUGCAAAAUUUUACCCUUUUAUGAUUUCCAUGCAUAGUUUAUCACUUAGACUCUUAUAACAACAAACACUUCCAUACUUAACCAUUUUAGCAACCAUUCAUCAUCAAAUACUUACACAUCAUUCUUUAGCAAGAUCAUAAAUACAAACAUUUAAAAUAACUAAAUCCCUUUACAUUCCAUACUCAACAUGGUUCAACAUAAAAAUACCGAGUUGCUGUGGUUGAUAGUGUGGACGAUCUCCGACUUCUUUAGGAUCCUUGAAGUAACCUUGCAAUACUAUAAGAGAAAGAGAAAUAAAAGACGUAAGCAUAAAGCUUAGUAAGUUUACUAGCAAAUAAAUAACAAUAUUUAACUAGAUAAUUAAACUCAAGUGUCUAUAUCUCUAGUUUACUAUUUAGUUAAUCUCAUUCUAGUUCUCUUGCUUGUUUACUUAGUAUACUUGUGUGCAUAACUUACUCCUCUCUUGCUGUAUAGUUGAAUAUCAAUUGAUAAUAUAAUAAGUUAUUAACUCUUAUAACUUACCUGAACUUGCCAUUUAUGUUUUUAACUGAACUUUCCUGAACAUGAUUCGUUAUUUAGCCCGUUGAGCUACAUUGGAACAAUAAGGAUACUCGGGUCUCUUCUGAUAAUAACAUGCCAAAGCCAUGUCCCAGACAUGGUCUUACAUGGGAUGUACUCAUGUCGGUGCCCAUUCCAUAUCCCAGACAUGGUCUUACGGGGGACCUCUCAUCUCGGUGCCAAUGCCAUGUCCCAGACAUGGUCUUACAUGGGACCUCUCAUCUCGGUGCCAACGCCAUGUCCCAGACAUGGUCUUACAUGGGACCUCUCAUCUCGGUGCCAACGCCAUGUCCCAGACAUGGUCUUACAUGGGACCUCUUUACCCAAAUGUCAUGACAUUCGUAUCCAGUACCAUCCUUACUAUUCAUGACAACCGAUAUAUAUAUAUACAUACUCACUAUUCACAAGGACUCGAACGAUUAUAUACUCAUCAACCACCUUAAAACAAUGUUCAUAAACUUAUCCAUUUCAUAUAAACAAAAGCAUAUAUAUUUAUAACCAAUGCAUAGAAUCACUUAAUUUAAACAGAUUCACUGGCACUUCACCUGAUAGGCUUAUAGUUUAAUUCAGUUCACCGGCACUUAGCCUACUAGGCUUGUAGCCUGAUUCAGUUCACCGGCACUUAGCCUGCUAGACGUAUAGUCCGAUUCAAUUCACCGGCAUUUAGCCUGCUAGACGUAUAGUCUGAUUCAAUUUACCGGCACUUAGCCUGCUAGACGUAUAGUCUGAAUAAUUUUACUGGUAAUAAAUCCGAUAGUAAUUUCUCCGUUGAAAUUGAAUUAUAUUCAAUUCUGCGUAACAAACAUGCACUUAAAACAUACUUGCAUAAUUCACAACAAUAAUUUCAGUCCAAAGAGCUGUAAUUCAUAUUCGAACUAUAUAUAUAUAAAUCCAUACAUAAAAAUUCAACUCAAAAUUUAUAACCUAUAUCUUUGAACCACAUAGGUACAUGAAAUUCAAACACCAAAAUCCAGCUCAAUAACUUCAUGAUUCAACCUAACAAAUUUAUGUAUAUAACUUUUUAUCUAAUUUCAAUACAAUAACUUAUACAUGUACGUAUAUACAUAUUCGAAUCUAACAUAUACAUAUAUAAUUUCAUACUUAAAUAUAUUCAAGACUUAUUCAUGAGUAUACAUAUAUAUUACAACUCACAUGUACAUAUAUAUACACAUUCAUACCUUUAACCAAGUCCAAGGCUUUAUACAUGUAUAUGCUUAUAUAUAUAUAUUCGGACCUUAUGUUUACAUAUAUAUAUUAUAUAAAUACCUUUGAUUAAAAACAAGUAUUUAUACAUAUAUAUAUUUUCGAACAUGAUACAUAUAUAUUUAUAUCAUUCAUACUUAAACAAAAUUCAAUCCAUAUACUUUCAAUUUCAGCUCACCAAAUUACUAUAGAUAUACAUGCAUAUAUACUGAUUUAAUAACCUCAAAUUGCUAAUAGACUUACCUCGGAUAUCAGCGGACACGAUCGAGUAUUCGAUUACUUUCGUUUUUCCCCGAUCCAAAUUCGUUUUCUUCGUUUUUUAUCUUAAUUAGACCUAGAGAUAGCCGAACCUUGUUGUUCUCUUUUCUUUUCUUUUCUUUUUCUUUUCUAUAUUCGGCCAAGAUGAAGAACAUGGCAUUUAAAAUUUGUUAUAUUAAACAUAUAUUAGCCUUAUUUUUAAUUUACUAUAUUAACCUUUACAUAUAUAUAACAUAUAUAAUAAGGUUACAUUAGUCCUUUGCCACCCACUAACUUACAUAGUGGACUAAUUGCAUAGUAAAACCUCUAAAUUAUAAAGACAACAAGAAUUAGGUCCUUUUAUAAUUAACCCCUAAAUUUUCAUUUUACGCGAUUAAGCCCUUUUAUUAAAUCGGACACUUAAACGACGAAAUUAAAACACGAAAAUUUCACACAAUCAAAUGCAUACAAAACAAUAUUAAUAAUAUUUUUCUAAUUCAAAUUUGUGGUCCCGAAACCAGUAUUCUGAUUAGGGUCAAAAACCGGGUUGUUACAACUCUCCCCCCUUAGGGAUUUUCGUCCCCGAAAAUCUUACCGGUGAAUAGGUUUGGAUAACGCUCUUUCAUUGUAUCUUCUAACUCCCAAGUUGCUUCUUCAACCCCAUGUUUAUGCCACAACACUUUAACUAACGGAAUUUUCUUAUUUCGUAAUUCUUUGAUCUCACGAGCCAGAAUGCUAAUCGGUUCUUCCUCAUAUGUCAUAUCAGAGUUAAUUUCAAUCUCCGUCGGACUAAUCACAUGUGAAGGAUCAGAUCGGUAUCUACGAAGCAUCGAAACAUGGAAUACGUUAUGAAUCUUUUCUAACUCAGGCAGUAACAUCAAUCUAUAAGCAACCAAUCCAACUCGCUCUAUAAUCUCAUACGGUCCAAUGAAUCUCGGACACAAUUUGCCUUUACGACCAAAUCUGAGUAUUUUCUUCCACGGUGAGACUUUUAAAAACACUUUAUCCCCGAUCUGAAAUUCUAUAUCCUUUCUUUUCAAAUUCGCAUAAGAUUUCUGACGAUCCGAUGCUGAUUUCAGACUGUCCCGAAUCACUUUCACUUUCUGUUCGGUCUCUUUAAUCAAAUCAACCCCGUGUAUCUUAUUUUCACUGAGCUCGGUCCAAUACAGUGGUGUACGACAUUUACAACCGUACAAAGCCUCAUAAGGUGCCAUUUUGAUACUAGAUUGAAAGCUAUUAUUAUAAGCAAAUUCAAUCAAAGGUAAGUAUCGUUCCCACGUACCUUCAAACUCGAGAAUGCAACAUCUCAACAUAUCCUCAAGUAUCUGAAUGAUUCAUUCAGAUUGACCAUCUGUCUGCGGAUCGAAAGCUGUGCUAAAAUGUAGUUUCGUACCUAAAGCAUCUUGUAGUUUCUUCCAAAAUCGCGAUGUGAAUCUCAGAUCUCUGUCUGAAACAAUAGAAAUAGGUACACCAUGCAACCUCACAAUUUGUGAAAUAUACAAUUCCGCAAGUUUAUCGAGCGAAAAAUCUGUACGAAUCGAAAUAAAAUGUGUCGAUUUUGUCAACCUAUCAACAAUAACCCAGAUUGCAUCUAUCUUGCUCGGUGUCAACGGUAAAUCGGAUACAAAAUCCAUCGUGACUCGAUCCCAUUUCCAUUGAGGUAUCAUGAUCGGCUGAAGCAACCCAGAUGGUACCUGAUGCUUGGCUUUAACUUGCUGACAAAUUAAACAUUUCGAAACAAAGUCAGAAAUGUCUCGUUUCAUACCUUGCCACCAAUAGUGCUGUUUCAGAUCGUUAUACAUUUUCGUGCUACCCGGAUGAACAGAAAAUCGACUACUAUGAGCUUCCUUCAAAAUCAUCUAAAUUAACUCUGAUUUUUUCGGAACACAUAAUCGGUUUCUAAAUCUCAAACAAUCCUCAGCAUCAACUAAAAACUCCGAAUCAAUAUUUAAGUCACAUUGAGCUCGUUUUGCAGUUAAAUCAUUAUCGACCUUUUGAGCUUCACAAAUCUGUUGUACAAAUAACGGUUUUGCUUUCAACUCAGCUACUAUCGCACCAUCAUCAGACAUAACCAUAUGUGCGUUCAUUGCACGCAAAGCAAACAGUGAUUUUCGACUUAGGGCAUCAGCAACAACAUUAGCCUUUCCCGGAUGAUAGUCAAUCACAAGCUCGUAUUCUUUCAGCAAUUCUAACCAUCGACGCUGUCUCAAAUUCAGAUAUUUCUGAGUCAUCAAAUAUUUCAGGCUUUUGGGAUCGGAAUAAACAUGACAUCUUUCACCAAACAGAUAGUGACGCCAUAUUUUUAACGCAAAUACAAUAGCGGCCAAUUCCAGAUCAUGUGUCGGAUAGUUUUUUUCAUGCGGCUUUAACUGUCUCAAGGCAUAGGCUACAACUUUGCCUUCCUACAUCAAAACACAACCCAAACCAUUUAAAGAUGCAUCACUAUAGAUAACAAACUCUUUACCCGAUUCGGGUUGAACUAAGACUGGAGCUUCGGUCAAAAGAACUUUCAACUGAUCAAAGUUUUUCUGACACUUUUCUGACCACUCGAACUUAACGUCUUUUUGUAGUAGCUUUGUCAUCGGGGUCGCAAUCAUAGAAAACCCUUUCACGAACCGUCUAUAAUAACCAGCGAGCCCCAGAAAGCUUCGAACAUCAGAGACAUUUCUCGGAGGUUUCCAAUCAAGUAUAGCUGAAAUUUUACCUGGAUCAACUCGAAUACCCGAUGCUGACACAACAUGGCCCAGAAAACUAACUUCACGUAACCAGAACUCGCAUUUACUGAACUUUGCAUACAACUGUUUAUCUCGCAAAGUUUGUAACACAAGUCUCAGAUGUUCAGUAUGCUCGGUUUCAUCACGAGAGUAGAUCAAAAUAUCAUCUAUAAAUACUACCACAAAUCGAUCCAGAUACUGUCUAAAAAUCUGAUUCAUCAAAUCCAUGAAAACAGCAGGUGCAUUAGUAAGUCCAAAAGGCAUAACCAAGAACUCAUAAUGUCCGUACCUCGUUCGGAAAGCUGUCUUUGGCACAUCAGAGUCUUUAACUCGCAACUGAUAGUAGCCUGAUCUCAGAUCUAUCUUCGAAAACACAGUAGCCCCUUUCAACUGAUCGAACAAAUCAUCAAUCCGUGGUAACGGAUACUUAUUCUUUAUAGUCACCUUAUUGAGUUGCCGGUAAUCAAUGCACAUUCUCAUUGUUCUGUCUUUCUUUUUCACAAAUAGAACUGGUGCACCCCAAGGAGAGAAACUCGGUCGUGUAAAACCUUUAUCAGUCAACUCUUGCAACUGUACUUUCAAUUCUUUUAAUUCGGUCGGUACCAUACGGUACGGAGCUAUCGAAAUUGGAGUUGUCCCUGGUACUAACUCAAUACCAAACUCUACCUCUCGAAUAGGUGGCAAACCCGGUAAUUCUUCGGGAAACACGUCUGAAUACUUACACACUACUGGCACAGAUUCAAUCUUCUUUUCGGUCACUUUACUAUCAAGAAAAAAUGCAAGGUAAUCUUCACAACCUUUUCUCACAUACUUCUGAGCCGACAUCGAGGAUAUUAUUGCUGGUAAACCAUUCAGAUCAUUAGAUUCAAUCCGAAUAAUCUCAUCAUUCUGACACCGUAGAUCAAUAGUUUUCCGUUUGCAGUUUACUAUAGCAUUAUGCAGAGUUAACCAAUCCAUACCCAGAAUUAUAUCAAACUCGUCAAAUGGUAGCAACAUCAAAUCAGCCAGAAAACAUAAAUCUCGAAUCAUCAACGGACAAUUCUUGCACACUUUGUCAACCAAAACACACCGGCCCAAGAGGUUCAAUACUUUAAUUACAAACUCAGUAGACUCAACAGGCAAAGUCUUACUGAAUACUAAAGUCUCACACACAUAAGAAUGAGUCGAACCAAGAUCAAUCAAUGCAAUAACAUUAGUAUCAUAAAGAGUGAAAGUACCAGUAAUAACAUCUGGAGAAGAAGCCUCCUCCCGAGCACGGAUGGCAUAUGCUCUGGCAAGUGCACGAGCCUCAGAUCGAACUGCCAUGUCCUUUGUUCCUCUCUGACUGCCACUUACAUUACUCAAUUGCCUCGGCGGUCUACCUCGUACAGGUACUUUACUCGGUCUGGUAUUCUACACAGUGUUUUGCUCAGCUACCAUCGGACACUCUCGAAUGAAAUGAUCCUUUGAACCGCACUUAAAGCAAGACCGAUCAUGUAAUCUGCAAUCUCCAGGAUGCCAUUUCCCACAAUGCUUGUACUCUGAUCUAUUUUGUCGAACACUACCAACGCUAGCAACUGAAGUAGCUCGUGAACUCACAGGGGGUCGAUCUCGAUCAUACUUAGGAAACCCUGCAGUAGCUUUAGAUCGGCUAUGAUCCUCUCUGGAUUUCAUUGAGGUCGACUGGAAUGAUUUACUGAAUGAUCUUUUACGAGAAUCUCGAGCUUCAUAGCCAGCUUUCCUCUUCUCUUUACUGAGCUCCUUAACUUUACAAGGUCGUUCAACAAGUACUACGAACUCUUUUAUCUCAAGUAUACCAAAUAACAGUUUAAUAUCUUCAUCCAGCCCAUCUUCAAAUCUUUUACACAUGAUAGCUUCAGUCGAAAUACAUUCUCGAGCAUAUCUACUGAGUCUCACAAAUUUCCGCUCAUAUUCUAUCACUGUCAUACGACCCUGUUUCAAUUCAAGAAAUUCCUUAUGCUUCUGAUCAAUGAAUCUUUGGCUGAUGUAUUUCUUACAGAACUCAAUCUGAAAGAAUUCCCAGGUCACUCGCUCUUUCGGAACCACCGAUACUAGUGUAUUCCACCAGUGAUAUGCAGUGUCCCGUAGCAAAGAUAUGGCACAUUUCAAGUACUCAUCAGGGGUGCAAGAUAACUCAUCAAACACUCGAAUAGUAUUAUCAAGCCAGAAUUCAGCUUGCUCAGCAUCAUCAUCAUCAGUAGCUCUGAACUCUUCGACCCCGUGUUUUCAAAUUUAGUCAACAGGAGGCUUAAGUAAUCUCAUCGGAUCACUUACUUGAGGUAUAAUAGGAAUCGAAGGUGGAUUAGUCGGGGGUGGAGUUUGUUGUGCAACCGGAUUAGUUCGGACAUAUUGAGUAAACCAGUCAUUCAUCAUUUGGUAGAAGGCUUGUUUAGCCUCUCCCUCCUGGUUACUCGAGGUCGGUCGAGAAUCUACCAGCUCUGUCCCUUGUGUGGGAGCAGGCGCUAUACUCUCAACAUCAUCGACUACGGCUGGAUCGGGAUCCAUUACUAUACGAAAACACAUUUUUAGACAUCAGCAGUCAUCGCACUAUCUUGGUAUAAAAAUAUGGCAUGUAUAGCUAGACUCAUACAUGCUACAUUAGUCCAAGAAUCGAUUAAACCGUAGCUCUGAUACCAAUAAAAUGUAACACCCCUAACCCGUAUCCGUCGCCGAAUUAGGGUUACGAGGCAUUACUGAACAAAUACAACCAUUUUUAAAACCAACUGAUCACAAACAUGAAAAUUAAAUCAUUUUCACAUAGCUAUUUAUAAUUUACAAUCAACAUCUAACCAACAUCGUACUCAAACCUAUACAUGCCAUAAGAUCAAGUUCAAAUAUUUAACAAAAUACCAAAAGGGGUCGAAAGUGUGAUAGACUAUGCUGAUGAUCCCCGAGCUCGUAACGCAUCUCCAAAAUCUAUAAAAACAAAUGGACAAAAACAAUCAAAGUAAGCUUUUAUAGCUUAGUAAGUCUAUAGCAUAUCUAAAAUACAUAUAAAAGAAUCAUAUAAUUCUUAAAAUAAAUUUAUUGAAAUCACAAUUAUCAAUUAUAAUUACUAAUCGAACAUUGCUAUAUUAAGUCAUCUUGUUUAAAUCUAAAAGGAUGUGUAUUUAUCUAAUACACAUGAACGGACAAAUGUAUAUACAUUAUAUGCAUAUAAUCAAUUUACUAACAUAAUCAUUAAUUGCAUAUACGGAUUUCUAUAGUACUUAUUGUUCGCACUUAAUCGGAUCCAUUUAAAUAUAAUUGUUCAAAUACAUAUACCAAAAGCAUAAUAAUUUUAUACUUGAUCAACUAUAAGUGCCGAAUGCACAUAUACACCUAUACCCACCUAUGCCGAAUGCAUACAUAUAUACACAUAUAUAUAUAUCCAACAAUUUCGUGACAACCGAUAUAUAUAUACAUACUCACUAUUCACAAGGACUCGAACGAUUAUAUACUCAUCAACCACCUUAAAACAAUGUUCAUAAACUUAUCCAUUUCAUAUAAACAAAAGCAUAUAUAUUUAUACCCAAUGCAUAGAAUCACUUAAUUUAAACAGAUUCACUAGCACUUCACCUGAUAGGCUUAUAGUUUAAUUCAGUUCACCGGUACUUAGCCUACUAGGCUUGUAGCCUGAUUCAGUUCACCGGCACUUAGCCUGCUAGACGUAUAGUCCGAUUCAAUUCACCGGCAUUUAGCCUGCUAGACGUAUAGUCCGAUUCAAUUUAUCGGCACUUAGCCUGCUAGAUGUAUAGUCUGAAUAAUUUUACUGGUAAUAAAUCCGAUAGUCAUUUCUCCGUUGAAAUUGAAUUAUAUUCAAUUCUGCGUAACAAACAUGCACUUAAAACAUACUUGCAUAAUUCACAACAAUAAUUUCAGUCCAAAGAGCUGUAAUUCAUAUUCGAACUAUAUAUAUAAAUCCAUACAUAAAAAUUCAGCUCAAAAUUUAUAACCUAUAUCUUUGAACCACAUAGGUACAUGAAAUUCAAACAACAAAAUCCAGCUCAAUAACUUCAUGAUUCAACCUAACAAAUUUAUGUAUAUAACUUUUUAUCUAAUUUCAAUACAAUAACUUAUACAUGUACGUAUAUACAUAUUCGAAUCUAACAUAUACAUAUAUAAUUUCAUACUUAAAUAUAUUCAAGACUUAUUCAUGAGUAUACAUAUAUAUUACAACUCACAUGUACAUAUAUAUACACAUUCAUACCUUUAACCAAGUCCAAGGCUUUAUACAUGUAUAUGCUUAUAUAUAUAUAUAUUCGGACCUUAUGUUUACAUAUAUAUUAUAUAUAAAUACCUUUGAUUAAAAACAAGUAUUUAUACAUAUAUAUAUUUUUGAACAUGAUACAUAUAUAUAUUUAUAUCAUUCAUACUUAAACAAAAUUCAAUCCAUAUACUUUCAAUUUCAGCUCACCAAAUUACUAUAGAUAUACAUGCAUAUAUACUGAUUUAAUAACCUCAAAUUGCUAAUAGACUUACCUCGGAUAUCAGCGGACACGAUCGACUAUUCGAUUACUUUCGUUUUUCCCCGAUCCAAAUUCGUUUUCUUCGUUUUUUUAUCUUAAUUAGACCUAGAGAUAGCCGAACCUUGUUGUUCUCUUUUCUUUUCUUUUCUUUUUCUUUUCUAUAUUCGGCCAAGAUGAAGAACAUGGCAUUUAAAAUUUGUUAUAUUAAACAUAUAUUAGCCUUAUUUUUAAUUUACUAUAUUAACCUUUACAUAUAUAUAUAACAUAUAUAAUAAGGUUACAUUAGUCCUUUGCCACCCACUAACUUACAUAGUGGACUAAUUGCAUAGUAAAACCUCUAAAUUAUAAAGACAACAACAAUUAGGUGCUUUUAUAAUUAACCCCUAAAUUUUCAUUUUACGCGAUUAAGCCCUUUUAUUAAAUCGGACACUUAAACGACGAAAUUAAAACACGAAAAUUUCACACAAUCAAAUGCAUACAAAAUAAUAUUAAUAAUAUUUUUCUAAUUCAAAUUUGUGGUCCCGAAACCAGUAUUCUGAUUAGGGUCAAAAACCGGGUUGUUACAACUCUCCCCCCUUAGAGAUUUUCGUCCCCGAAAAUCUUACCGGUGAAUAGGUUUGGAUAACGCUCUUUCAUUGUAUCUUCUGACUCCCAAGUUGCUUCUUCAACCCCAUGUUUAUGCCACAACACUUUAACUAACGGAAUUUUCUUAUUUCGUAAUUCUUUGAUCUCACGAGCAAGAAUGCUAAUCGGUUCUUCCUCAUAUGUCAUAUCAGAGUUAAUUUCAAUCUCCGUCGGACUAAUCACAUGUGAAGGAUCAGAUCGGUAUCUACGGAGCAUCGAAACAUGGAAUACGUUAUGAAUCUUUUCUAACUCAGGCAGUAACAUCAAUCUAUAAGCAACCAAUCCAACUCGCUCUAUAAUCUCAUACGGUCCAAUUAAUCUCGGACACAAUUUGCCUUUACGACCAAAUCUGAGUAUUUUCUUCCACGGUGAGACUUUUAACUUGCUCGGUGUCAACGGUAAAUCGGAUACAAAAUCCAUCGUGACUCGAUCCCAUUUCCAUUGAGGUAUCAUGAUCGGCUGAAGCAAUCCAGAUGGUACCUGAUGCUCGGCUUUAACUUGCUGACAAAUUAAACAUUUCGAAACAAAGUCAGAAAUGUCUCGUUUCAUACCUUGCCACCAAUAGUGCUGUUUUAGAUCGUUAUACAUUUUCGUGCUACCCGGAUGAACAGAAAAUCGAAUACUAUGAGCUUCCUUCAAAAUCAUCUGAAUUAACUCUGAAUUUUUCGGAACACAUAAUCGGUUUCUAAAUCUCAAACAAUCCUCAGCAUCAACUAAAAACUCCGAAUCAAUAUUUAAGUCACAUUGAGCUCGUUUUGCAGUUAAAUCAUUAUCAACCUUUUGAGCUUCACAAAUCUGUUGUACAAAUAACAGUUUUGCUUUCAACUCAGCUACUAUCGCACCAUCAUCAGACAUAACCAUAUGUGCGUUCAUUGCACGCAAAGCAAACAGUGAUUUUCGACUUAGGGCAUCAGCAACAACAUUAGCCUUUCCCGGAUGAUAGUCAAUCACAAGCUCGUAAUCUUUCAGCAAUUCUAACCAUCGACGCUGUCUCAAAUUCAGAUAUUUCUGAGUCAUCAAAUAUUUCAGGCUUUUGGGAUCGGAAUAAACAUGACAUCUUUCGCCAAACAGAUAGUGACGCCAUAUUUUUAACGCAAAUACAAUAGCGGCCAAUUCCAGAUCAUGCGUCGGAUAGUUUUUUUCAUGCGGCUUUAACUGUCUCAAGGCAUAGGCUACAACUUUGCCUUCCUACAUCAAAACACAACCCAAACCAUUUAAAGAUGCAUCACUAUAGAUAACAAACUCUUUACCCGAUUCGGGUUGAACUAGGACUGGAGCUUCGGUCAAAAGAACUUUCAACUGAUCAAAGUUUUUCUGACACUUUUCUGACCACUCGAACUUAACGUCUUUUUGUAGUAGCUUUGUCAUCGGGGUCGCAAUCAUAGAAAACCCUUUCACGAACCGUCUAUAAUAACCAGCGAGCCCCAGAAAGCUUCGAACAUCAGAGACAUUUCUCGGAGGUUUCCAAUCAAGUAUAGCUGAAAUUUUACUUGGAUCAACCUGAAUACCCGAUGCUGACACAACAUGGCCCAGAAAACUAACUUCACGUAACCAGAACUCGAAUUUACUGAACUUUGCAUACAACUGUUUAUCUCGCAAAGUUUGUAACACAAGUCUCAGAUGUUCAGUAUGCUCGGUUUCAUCACGAGAGUAGAUCAAAAUAUCAUCUAUAAAUACUACCACAAACAGAUCCAGAUACUGUCUAAAAAUCUGAUUCAUCAAAUCCAUGAAAACAGCAGGUGCAUUAGUAAGUCCAAAAGGCAUAACCAAGAACUCAUAAUGUCCGUACCUCGUUCGGAAAGCAGUCUUUGGCACAUCAGAGUCUUUAACUCGCAACUGAUAGUAGCCUGAUCUCAGAUCUAUCUUCGAAAACACAGUAGCCCCUUUCAACUGAUCGAACAAAUCAUCAAUCCGUGGUAACGGAUACUUAUUCUUUAUAGUCACCUUAUUGAGUUGCCGGUAAUCAAUGCACAUUCUCAUUGUUCCGUCUUUCUUUUUCACAAAUAGAACUGGUGCACCCCAAGGAGAGAAACUCGGUCGUGCAAAACCUUUAUCAGUCAACUCUUGCAACUGUACUUUCAAUUCUUUUAAUUCAGUCGGUGCCAUACGGUACGGAGCUAUCGAAAUUGGAGUUGUCCCUGGUACUAACUCAAUACCAAACUCUACCUCUCGAAUAGGUGGCAAACCCGGUAAUUCUUCGGGAAACACGUCUGAAUACUUACACACUACUGGCACAGAUUCAAUCUUCUUUUCGAUCACUUUACUAUCAAGAAAAAAUGCAAGGUAAUCUUCACAACCUUUUCUCACAUACUUUUUUGCCGACAUCGAGGAUAUUAUUGCUGGUAAACCAUUCAGAUCAUUAGAUUCAAUCCGAAUAAUCUCAUCAUUCUGACACCGUAGAUCAAUAGUUUUCCGUUUGCAGUUUACUAUAGCAUCAUGCAGAGUUAACCAAUCCAUACCCAGAAUUAUAUCAAACUCGUCAAAUGGUAGCAACAUCAAAUCAGCCAGAAAACAUAAAUCUCGAAUCAUCAACGGACAAUUCUUGCAUAUUUUGUCAACCAAAACACACCGGCCCAGGGGGUUCAAUACUUUAAUUACAAACUCAGUAGACUCAACAGGCAAAGUCUUACUGAAUACUAAAGUCUCACACACAUAAGAAUGAGUCGAACCAAGAUCAAUCAAUGCAAUAACAUUAGUAUCAUAAAGAGGGAAAGUACCAGUAAUAACAUCUGGAGAAGAAGCCUCCUCUUGAGCACGGAUGGCAUAUGCUCUGGCAAGUGCACGAGCCUCAGAUCGAACUGCCAUGUCCUUUGUUCCUCUCUGACUGCCACUUACAUUACUCAAUUGCCUCGGUGGUCUACCUCGUACUGGCACUUUACUCGGUCUGGUAUUCUGCACAGUGUUUUGCUCAGCUACCAUCGGACACUCUCGAAUGAAAUGAUCCUUUGAACCGCACUUAAAGCAAGACCGAUCAUGUAAUCUGCAAUCUCCAGGAUGCCAUUUCCCACAAUACUUGUACUCUGAUCUAUUUUGUCGAACACUACCAACGCUAGCAACUGAAGUAGCUCGUGAACUCACAGGGGGUCGAUCUCGAUCAUACUUAGGAAACCCUGCAGUAGCUUUAGAUCGGCUAUGAUCCUCUCUGGAUUUCAUUGAGGUCGACUGGAAUGAUUUACUGAAUAAUCUUUUACGAGAAUCUCGAGCUUCAUAGCCAGCUUUCCUCUUCUCUUUCCCGAGCUCCUCAACUUUACAAGGUCGUUCAACAAGUACUACGAACUCUUUUAUCUCAAGUAUACCAAAUAACAGUUUAAUAUCUUCAUCCAGCCCAUCUUCAAAUCUUUUACACAUGAUAGCUUCAGUCGAAAUACAUUCUCGAGCAUAUCUACUGAGUCUCACAAAUUUCCGCUCAUAUUCUAUCACUGUCAUACGACCCUGUUUCAAUUUAAGAAAUUACUUACGCUUCUGAUCAAUGAAUCUUUGGCUGAUGUAUUUCUUACAGAACUCAAUCUGAAAGAAUUCCCAGGUCACUCGCUCUUUCGGAACCACCGAUACUAGUGUAUUCCACCAGUGAUAUGCAGUGUCCCGUGGCAAAGAUAUGGCACAUUUCAAGUACUCAUCAGGGGUGCAAGAUAACUCAUCAAACACUCGAAUAGUAUUAUCAAGCCAGAAUUCAUCUCGCUCAGCAUCAUCAUCAUCAGUAGCUCUGAACUCUUCGACCCCGUGUUUUUGAAUUUUGUCAAUAGGAGGCUUAAGUAAUCUCAUCGGAUCACUUACUUGAGGUAUAACAGGAAUCGAAGGUGGAUUAGUCGGGGGUGGAGUUUGUUGUGCAACCGGAUUAGUUCGGACAUAUUGAGUAAACCAGUCAUUCAUCAUUUGGUAGAAGGCUUGUUUAGCCUCUCCCUCCUGGUUACUCGAGGUCGGUCGAGAAUCUACCGGCUCUGUCCCUUGUGUGGGAGCAGGCGCUAUACCCUCAACAUCAUCGACUACGGCUCGAUCGGGAUCCAUUACUAUACGAAAACACAUUUUUAGACAUCAGCAGUCAUCACACUAUCUUGGUAUAAAAAUAUGGCAUGUAUAGCUAGACUCAUACAUGCUACAUUAGUCCAAGAAUCGAUUAAACCGUAGCUCUGAUACCAAUAAAAUGUAACACCCCUAACCCGUAUCCGUCGCCGAAUUAGGGUUACGAGGCAUUACUGAACAAAUACAACCAUUUUUAAAACCAACUGAUCACAAACAUGAAAAUUAAAUCAUUUUCACAUAGCUAUUUAUAAUUUACAAUCAACAUCUAACCAACAUCGUACUCAAACCUAUACAUGCCAUAAGAUCAAGUUCAAAUAUUUAACAAAAUACCAAAAGGGGUCAAAAGUGUGAUAGACUAUGCUGAUGAUCCCCGAGCUCGUAACGCGUCUCCAAAAUCUAUAAAAACAAAUGGACAAAAACAAUCAAAGUAAGCUUUUAUAGCUUAGUAAGUCUAUAGCAUAUCUAAAAUACAUAUAAAAGAAUCAUAUAAUUCUUAAAAUAAAUUUAUUGAAAUCACAAUUAUCAAUUAUAAUUACUAAUCGAACAUUGCUAUAUUAAGUCAUCUUGUUUAAAUCUAAAAGGAUGUGUAUUUAUCUAAUACACAUGAACGGACAAAUGUAUAUACAUUAUAUGCAUAUAAUCAAUUUACUAACAUAAUCAUUAAUUGCAUAUACGGAUUUCUAUAGUACUUAUUGUUCGCACUUCAUCGGAUCCAUUUAAAUAUAAUUGUUCAAAUACAUAUACCAAAAGCAUAAUAAUUUUAUACUUGAUCAACUAUAAGUGCCGAAUGCACAUAUACACCUAUACCCACCUAUGCCGAAUGCAUACAUAUAUACACAUAUAUAUAUAUCCAACAAUUUCAUGACAACCGAUAUAUAUAUACAUACUCACUAUUCACAAGGACUCGAACGAUUAUAUACUCAUCAACCACCUUAAAACAAUGUUCAUAAACUUAUCCAUUUCAUAUAAACAAAAGCAUAUAUAUUUAUACCCAAUGCAUAGAAUCACUUAAUUUAAACAGAUUCACUGGCACUUCACCUGAUAGGCUUAUAGUUUAAUUCAGUUCACCGGCACUUAGCCUACUAGGCUUGUAGCCUGAUUCAGUUCACCGGCACUUAGCCUGCUAGACGUAUAGUCCGAUUCAAUUCACCGGCAUUUAGCCUGCUAGACGUAUAGUCCGAUUCAAUUUACCGGCACUUAGCCUGCUAGAUGUAUAGUCUGAAUAAUUUUACUGGUAAUAAAUCCGAUAGUCAUUUCUCCGUUGAAAUUGAAUUAUAUUCAAUUCUGCGUAACAAACAUGCACUUAAAACAUACUUGCAUAAUUCACAACAAUAAUUUCAGUCCAAAGAGCUGUAAUUCAUAUUCGAACUAUAUAUAUAUAAAUCCAUACAUAAAAAUUCAGCUCAAAAUUUAUAACCUAUAUCUUUGAACCACAUAGGUACAUGAAAUUCAAACAACAAAAUCCAGCUCAAUAACUUCAUGAUUCAACCUAACAAAUUUAUGUAUAUAACUUUUUAUCUAAUUUCAAUACAAUAACUUAUACAUGUACGUAUAUACAUAUUUGAAUCUAACAUAUACAUAUAUAAUUUCAUACUUAAAUAUAUUCAAGACUUAUUCAUGAGUAUACAUAUAUAUUACAACUCACAUGUACAUAUAUAUACACAUUCAUACCUUUAACCAAGUCCAAGGCUUUAUACAUGUAUAUGCUUAUAUAUAUAUAUAUUCGGACCUUAUGUUUACAUAUAUAUUAUAUAUAAAUACCUUUGAUUAAAAACAAGUAUUUAUACAUAUAUAUAUUUUCGAACAUGAUACAUACAUAUAUUUAUAUCAUUCAUACUUAAACAAAAUUCAAUCCAUAUACUUUCAAUUUCAGCUCACCAAAUUACUAUAGAUAUACAUGCAUAUAUACUGAUUUAAUAACCUCAAAUUGCUAAUAGACUUACCUCGGAUAUCAGCGGACACGAUCGACUAUUCGAUUACUUUCGUUUUUCCCCGAUCCAAAUUCGUUUUCUUCGUUUUUUUAUCUUAAUUAGACCUAGAGAUAGCCGAACCUUGUUGUUCUCUUUUCUUUUCUUUUCUUUUUCUUUUCUAUAUUCGGCCAAGAUGAAGAACAUGGCAUUUAAAAUUUGUUAUAUUAAACAUAUAUUAGCCUUAUUUUUAAUUUACUAUAUUAACCUUUACAUAUAUAUAACAUAUAUAAUAAGGUUACAUUAGUCCUUUGCCACCCACUAACUUACAUAGUGGACUAAUUGCAUAGUAAAACCUCUAAAUUAUAAAGACAACAACAAUUAGGUGCUUUUAUAAUUAACCCCUAAAUUUUCAUUUUACGCGAUUAAGCCCUUUUAUUAAAUCGGACACUUAAACAACGAAAUUAAAACACGAAAAUUUCACACAAUCAAAUGCAUACAAAAUAAUAUUAAUAAUAUUUUUCUAAUUCAAAUUUGUGGUCCCGAAACCAGUAUUCUGAUUAGGGUCAAAAACUGGGUUGUUACAACUCUCCCCCCUUAGGGAUUUUCGUCCCCGAAAAUCUUACCGGUGAAUAGGUUUGGAUAACGCUCUUUCAUUGUAUCUUCUGACUCCCAAGUUGCUUCUUCAACCCCAUGUUUAUGCCACAACACUUUAACUAACGGAAUUUUCUUAUUUCGUAAUUCUUUGAUCUCACGAGCCAGAAUGCUAAUCGGUUCUUCCUCAUAUGUCAUAUCAGAGUUAAUUUCAAUCUCCGUCGGACUAAUCACAUGUGAAGGAUCAGAUCGGUAUCCACAGAGCAUUGAAACAUGGAAUACGUUAUGAAUCUUUUCUAACUCAGGCAGUAACAUCAAUCUAUAACCAACCGAUCCAACUCGCUCUAUAAUCUCAUACGGUCCAAUGAAUCUCGGACUCAAUUUGCCUUUACGACCAAAUCUGAGUAUUUUCUUCCACGGUGAGACUUUUAAAAACACUUUAUCCCCGAUCUGAAAUUCUAUAUCCUUUCUUUUCAAAUCCGCAUAAGAUUUCUGACGAUCCGGUGCUGAUUUCAGACUGUCCCGAAUCACUUUCACUUUCUGUUCGGUCUCUUUAAUCAAAUCAACCCCGUGUAUCUUAUUUUCACUGAGCUCAGUCCAAUACAGUGGUGUACGACAUUUACGACCGUACAAAGCCUCAUAAGGUGCCAUUUUGAUACUAGAUUGAAAGCUAUUAUUAUAAGCAAAUUCAAUCAAAGGUAAGUAUCGUUCCCACGUACCUUCAAACUCGAGAAUGCAACAUCUCAACAUAUCCUCAAGUAUCUGAAUGAUUCGUUCAGAUUGACCAUCUGUCUGCGGAUGGAAAGCUGUGCUAAAAUGUAGUUUCGUACCUAAAGCUGUGCUAAAAUGCACACAAAAUAAACACACAAAAUAAUAUUAAUAAUAUUUUUCUAAUUCGGAUUUGUGGUCCCGAAACCACUAUUCCGAUUAGGGUCAAAAACCGGGUUGUUACAAUUCUGCUUCUUCUGCAUCAUCAUCUUUGGUAGCUCGAAAUUCUUCAGCCCCUUACUUCCUAAUCUUAUCAACAGGUGGUCUCUCACUGAUGACUAUACCUGCAGCUAGGGAAACUACAUGAGGAACCUGUGAAUCCUGAAGGGGUGGAGGUCUUACACCCGGAUUCAUACGAACGAACUCGGCAAACCAAUCAUUCAUGGCUUGGAAGAAGGCUUCUCUAGCUCCUCCUCCCUGUCUAACUGAUGCAGGUCUUUCACUAACGUUAACAUCUAGUGGCACCGUCCUUUCUGCGGAAGUAGGCGCAUUACUCUCUACUUCAUCUGCACCAGCUCGUUCAGGAUCCGUAACUAUAAAAUAAAAUAUUUUAAAAUCGUCAAGAGUCGUCACACUAUCAAAAUAUAUAAGUAUGGCAUGUAUAGGUAGACUUUUAUUCAUACUGCAUAUUUCUGAGAACCGAUUAAACCUGCUCUGAUACCAACAAAUGUAACACCCCUUACCCAAGACCAUUUUCGGAGUCGAGCACGAGGCAUUACUUAUCUUAUCUUACUAACUCGAAGCAUAAAAACUUAUUUUAAAAAUUAAUUUCACUAUUUACAGCAAUCUGUCCAAUCGAGCAGCAGUUACUAAAUUAAUAAUAACUCGAGCUACGGAACUUGAAAUUUAACUUCGUAAAUUUUCACUGAAACUAGACUCAUAUAUCUUCCUACCAUAAAGUUUUUAGGAUUUUUUGUUUAGCCAACUAGUACAGUUUAUUAGUCAAAUUCUCCCCUGUUUCACCAAUCGAUUGCCUUGACCUCUUAUCACUAAAAAUAAAAUUUCUCAAUGUGGGAUUUUCGUAUAGUGCUACUGCUUGCUUCUACAAAAAAUAGACUCAAUAAGGAAUCUAUAAAUAUAAACUACAGCUCCUAAAUAUUUUUUUAAAAAUUUUAAUGAUUUUCUAAACUCAAAAUAGGGGUCACCAAAAACUGUUCUAACCCUGUCUCACCAAAAUUCACAUAUCUUAAAAUAUAAAAUUCAUUUUGCUACACCGUUAUUUUUAUCUGAAAAUAGACUCAACAAGAUUUAAAUUCAUAUAUCAUUCACUCUUUAAUUCAUUUUAUACUAUCCUAGGUGAUAUUUCAAAGUCACGUCGUUGUUGCUGCCUGAAUUCUGUUUCUUUGCAAAAUUGUACCAUUUUAUGAUUUCCAUGCAUAGUUUAUCACUUACACUCUUAUAACAACAAACACUUCCAUACUUCACCAUUUUAGCAACCAUUCAUCAUCAACUACUUACAUAUCAUUCUUUAUCAAGAUCAUAAAUACAAACAUUUAAAAUAACUAAAUCCCUAUACAUUCCAUACUCAACAUGGUUCAACAUAAAAAUACCGAGUUGCUGUGGCUGAUAGUGUGGACGAUCUCCGACUUCUUUAGGAUCCUUGAAGUAACCUUGCAAUACUAUAAGAGAAAGAGAAAUAAAAGACGUAAGCAUAAAGCUUAGUAAGUUUACUAGCAAAUAAAUAACAAUAUUUAACUCAGAUAAUUAAACUCAAGUGUCUAUAUCUCUAGUUUACUCUUUAGUUAAUCCCAUUCUAGUUCUCUUGCUUGUUUACUUAGUAUACUUGUGUGCAUAACUUAAUCUUCUCUUGCUGUAUCGUUGAAUAUCAAUUGAUAAUAUAAUAAGUUCUUAACUCUUAUAACUUACCUGAACUUGCCAUUUAUGUUUUUAACUGAACUUUCCUGAACAUGAUUCGUUAUUUAGCCCGUUGAGCUACAUUGGAACAAUAAGGAUACUCGGGUCUCUUCUGAUAAUAACAUGCCAAAGCCAUGUCCCAGACAUGGUCUUACAUGGGAUGUACUCAUGUCGGUGCCCAUUCCAUGUCCCAGACAUGGUCUUACGGGGGACCUCUCAUCUCGGUGCCAAUGUCAUGUCUCAGACAUGGUCUUACAUGGGACCUCUCAUCUCGGUGCCAACACCAUGUCCCAGACAUUGUCUUACAUGGGACCUCUCAUUUCGGUGCCAACGCCAUGUCCCAGACAUGGUCUUACAUGGGACCUCUUUAUCCAAAUGUCAUGACAUUCGUAUCCAGUAUUAUCCUUAUGUAUCAACGGGACUUUUUAAUUUUAAUUCUCUAUCAUUUCAUGCUUGGAUAAUCAUCAAAUAAAUUCAUGAAAUAAAUUCAUAGUUGCUGGAAAAUAGCAGCAUUAAUAAAAAUUAUUGAAAUAUUUCAUUUAUUUACCGUAAACUUACCUUGGUACCGAAUAUAGCCCAAUUCACCAACUUAGUCUUCAACUUUAUUCUUUCCUUUGUCUAACCUCGAGUUUCAUUCUUCUUGAUCUAAAAUAGAAAAUUUAACUUAUUUAAUACUCACAUUCAUCAAAACAGCCCUCGACUCUAACUUUUCAAAAUUAUGAUUUUGCCCCUAAACUUUUACAUAAUUACAUUUUUCCCCAAGGCUCGAAAAUUCAACUUCAUCUCAUAUUCUUAUGUUUUAUGGCAUGCUGAAUAUUUUUCUCUUCUAUGACAAUAUCAAAUUCUCACUCUAACACUUACUUAUGUACAUUAGAGAUUUUUACCGAUUAUGUCAACUUACUCGUUUUUGCUUAAAAUCGGCUAACAAAAGUUGUUUAACAUAAUUUAUAGCUUCAUAUUCUAUCAUAAAACAUCAAAAUAAACACUUUUCACCUAUGGGUAUUUUUCCAAAUAUAAACCCUAGGUUAAAUUAUUGCUAGAAUAAGCUAAAUUAAGUUACCGGGACUCCAAAAACGUAAGGAACAUUAAAAACGGGGCUUGGGAUCACUUACUAUGGAGCUUGGAAGCUUGAAAACCCUAAAUAUGGCUUACCCCCUUGCUGAUUUCGUCCAAAUGAAGAAGAUGAGCAUAAUUUGUCAUCUUUUUCCCUUUUAAUUCAUUUUAAUUACUAGAUUACCAAAUUGCCCCUAACUUAAAAAUUUCCUAUUUCACUUAUCUCAUGUCCAUUUUUGUCUAAAAACUUAACCAAUGGUCUAAUUACCAUAUAAAGACCUCCAAUUUAAAGUUUCAUAACAAUUGGACACCUCUAACAUGUAGAACUCAACUUUUGCACUUUUUGCAAUUUAGUACUUUUGACUAAAUUGAGUGCCCAAACUUCAAAAUUUUCGAAUAAAAUUUUCAUGAAAUCAUUUUGUGAAAUCAUAGACCAUAAAAAUAUAAGAAAAAUAAAAUUUUCCUCAUCGGAUUUGUGAUCCCGAAACCACUGUUCCGAUAAUCUUAAAUUUGGGCCAUUACAUGAUCACCUUUUUACUAGCUCAUACAUCUCCUACAUCAGACCUUACAUGCAUGCUUACCAAACUUUAUUCUUUUUAACAAAACUUUAUACAUAUCAUCGUAGCACAUCUUUCAUCUUUACUAAACUCAUAUUUUUACCAAUUUCUGUAGACAUCAUCAUCAUCAUCCUAUAUAUAUGCUUCUUGUUUGAACAGUUCAUAUCAAAGAGUCAAGAUAGAGACCCACUUGACACUCACCUACUGCAGUUCAAAGCUCUAAACUUAACCAUCCUUCUCAAACCAGCAGUAAAAACUGCUUAUAGAACAUAGAAUCACCAUUAAAAACCCAUUUACAUACAAAUUACUAUCAUCUUAAUCACUUUUCCACUGUUAAUUUAUAAAUAAGUGUUAAGUAGUAAAUAAAUAAAAAAAUUAACUAAGUUUUCAAAAAAAAAGUCACUGUGACGAGAAGAAUGUUAAAAUUAAUUGGUGUUUGUUAACUCAUAUGUUUUUCUAAAAAUGGGUUAAGUUUUCUUCUGAAAUAAACAAAUGUUUUAAAAUGAUUGUUUUAUAAACUCCGAUCGUACUAUCCCAUCUUGGUGGCUGAUGUAAUAUCCCAAAUUCAGGUCUAACAUCUAAGUCGGGUUGGAUAGGUUACAAUAUAUAUAGAAAGAUUGAUAAAUAAUGCAAACUUGAAUACAAGCAAAGAAAGAAAUCAAUCAAUGUGAAUGACUAACAAGUUUAAAAUCAUAUAUUUGCAUUAUAUUUUGUAAAGCACAAGAUUGUCAUGGAAUUAGACAAUUUGUUUUGAUAAUGGUUAUAUUUUAUAUAGAUUUACUUUUAUGCACUUUCAUAUUGAGUUGAUCAAAAGUUUUGAAACUUUAUAGAAAAUUUGAAUGAAAGAGCAUAUUGAUAUAUAUGCUAUCUUGAGUGUUGAAUUAAGCAUUCUUUAGUAAAAGAGUGUACAUUUCGCACAUGGUAGGUGUGUUGGUUUCUUAUAUAUUAAUUAAGCACAAAUUAAAGAAAAAUAAUAUAUAUCACCAUAGUGUUGUAAUAUUUUGUAUAAUUUGUGAAAUUAUACAAGCAAAUAAGUUUACCUAUCUUGUUAAAUAAAACUCAUUAAGUUGGUUCUUAAUCUUGAAGAAUUAAAUAGGUUGGCUUCUUUAUUCAUUUUAUCCAACUACAAGUUAGAUUAAAGUUGUGGAAAUAGAAUGGUUGAAAAUUUGUGUUAAUGAGAAUUAGAGUUAUGGCCACAACUGAUGCCAACUAUUUCCUAAAAACAGGGAAUGAUGUCCAAAAACAUGCUGUAAAAUAAAAAUUUGGACAUGUUAGAAUAUGAAUUUAUUAUAUUAUAGUUUCAAUGUAAUACCCUUAUCCCAUCUCUGUUGCCGGAUUAGGAUUUCAGAGUAUUACUGAGAAAAAUAGAACAUUUAACUUUCCAACAGAAACAAUUGUACAAUUAAAUACCAACAUAUAACAAUUGAAUCUAAUCAUGGCAAAUAUUACACUUUUGGACCUUGAAUCGAGCCUAUGGGGCCCUAGAAACAGUUUAGGAACAAUCUGGGAUCAAAUCAAAACAAAUCAGAACAUUUUGAAAAAACAUAAAAAUUUAGGAAUACAGAGGUCACAGGCCAUAUGGCCAAGUCGUGUGACAUAGCCUAGAUUGUGUAAACAUCCGAAGUCAGGACACAUAGCUGUGUCCCAGCCUGUGUGUCUACUCAUGUGUAUAUUUGAAAUAGGGUCACACAGUCGUGUUGCAGACUGCCAAACGUGUGUGUAUUCAAAGUGAGGUCGCAAGACCAUGUGGCCGACCGUGCCACAAACUGUUUUGAGACACAAGGUCAUGUCUCAGACCGUGUAAAACAUGCACUUAAAAUAAUAAAUACACACGACCGUAUCUAGUGACUAUGUGUGGCACAUGGUCGUGUGGUAGCUUGUGUCUCAGGUCGUGUGCUCCAUUUUUAACCCCUAAAUCAAGCCAAUCAAGCAUCAUUUCUUAUACAACAAGACAUACCAUAUCUAACUAAUUUUACAUGGUUAAAAACACAUUCAAAUCAACAAAUACAUGCCAAAAUUUCGUUCAUCCUAUGUCUAACCAAUAUGCCAUCAAAAGGCACCUCAAUCCAUACAUCCAUUCAACUCAAGAACAAAGUUACAAUAAAUGAACAAGUUUUAUCAUUAGUUAACCAUUCAUGCCUAAAACCACUAAUCUAAUUGACCAAAAUAUGGGCAUACUCAACAAGCAACCAUUUCAAAACAUCAUCAUCAAAUCUUUAUAUACCAUUUAUGAUCAACUUAAUUAUAUUCAACACAAGUACACAUCCAAAAUCAAGCACAUCACUAAGUAUGCCAAAAUAACUUAACUAUUUACAUAUCAACAAUAAGACACCAUAUCCCAAAAUGAAAUAAAAAAGCUACCAAGAUGGUUGGAUAGUGUGUGCUCCAAAACAAUUCAUCCGGUUAGUCCACAAAACGCCAAAUCAACCAAUAUAGAUAAACAAAAAGGUAAGUUCUAAUUCUUGAUAUUCAAAUGCAAGAUCACACCACAUUAGUAUAUAUUUAUUUACAUCAUAAAUGAUACCUUCCAAAAUUCAUAACCAAUUCAUCAUCCACAAUUUCUCAAUACAACCAUUAAUAUUUAUAAACAAGAACUUCAUAGUAACAUUUAUCAUUUAGUAGUAAUAUAAUUAUCCAACAAAAUUGAACAAAUAAAUGCGUUUUAAGUCAUUUGAUACAUAGCCUGCUGAACUAUAGUAACUUGACUCGGAUACUCAUGAUACUACAUCACACCAAAGGUAUCAAUGAUGCAUAACAGAGGCACCGAAGUGCAGACAAAUGCAUGAAUGUGCAAUCAGAGGCACCGAAGUGAAAACAGAUGCACCAAAGUACAAACCCGUACGAGUGCGCAUUAAAACCCUAUUGGCAUGCUAAUCGUAUCCUAAUUGUUUACUACGUUCAACUGGGCAUUAUACUUAAAAUCAUAAUAUCAAUAAAUCCAUCAUUUAGAGGCACUUCUUAUUUCCGUACACAUACUAUAAAUAUGUAACUUUCAUUUCAAUAAUAUGCAAUAACAAUAAUUACCAUCAUCAAACAUUCAUUUUCUAUUUGUACUUAAUUGCAAAAUUUAAUAAUAUAUAAGUAACUCAUGAAAUUUCACAUAUAUACCAUUAACUAGAAAACAAUAAUAUAAUCAUAAAGUGACACACAUAUACAUAUUAUUACACUAUGAACUUACCUAAAAUCUACUUUCGAUUAAUACACAGGGACUACUCCGCUAUUUUUUCCCUUUUCUCGGUUAUUGUCUUUUUGACUCGGUUCUUGAUCUAUAUAGUAAUUAAAUUCAAUUUAUGAAAUUCACAUACAUUUAAAACUCAAUUCAAUGCAUGAUACCCUUAUGUUUUCAUUAUUUUCACAUUUUUCUUAAACUUUUACAUUUCUCACAAUUUAGUCCCUACAAAAUUUAACAAAAUUUUACAAUUUUCCAUGUUAGUUGAACUUCUUUCGAAACUAGUACAAUCCCUAAUUAUUCACAAUUCACAAAAUUUCUAUGCAAAUUUUAAUAAUUCACACAUUGAUCAUUAAACUCAAAAUUAACACAAAUUUUUUUACAAAAAUAUCCUAAUCAACAUUCAAAUAUGUACAACUACCAUUAAAAAUCAUGAACACCAAAAUUCCAUUACUAACCAAUCCCUAAAACUUUAACAUUUUUAUAAUUCCAUCCUCGGGUUUAAUAGUUUAAGUUACAACGAGUUCAAAAACGUAAAAAUUAUUAAAAACAGGUAAGAGAAACACUUACAUGCACCAAUUUGCUAACCGAAACUUCAAGCUCCAAAAAUGGAGUUUUUUUUUUCUUUUUCGGUGGGAGAGAGUUGAGAAGAUGAUGAUACCAUUUUUUUCUUUUGUUUCUUUUCUUUAAUCAAACUAAUUACUAAAUUAUCCUUUUAAUCUAAACUAAAUUAUUAACAUAGCAUGUCCGUAAUUAUCCAUUAACUAACCAUAAGGUUUAUCUAUCAACCAAGUCCAUUACUUUAGUUUUUCUUUAAAAAUCAAGCACAUUUAACAAAUAGAAGCCACUUUAGCAUCUUUUACAAUUUAGACCUUUUUACUAAAUUAACUAAACAGACAUUAAAAUUUCUUAGCCAAAUUUUAUUAUGACUCCAAUAUAACUCUAUAAGCAUAAAAUAAACAUAAAAUACUAACUCAUUUGUCGAAAUUGUGGUCCUGAAACCACCUUUUUUGAUACCACUGAAAAAUGAGAUAUUACAUUAAAUCUCUAAUUUAUGAUAAUGAAUGUGAGAGAAUAAUUUUCUUUGUUUAGAAAUACUAAUCAUUUUCUUUGUUUAGUAAUACUACAACUAGAAUGUGUUUCGACCCUAUUAUUAGAAACUAAUAAUGGAAACCCAACUUUUAAUUAGAAACCUCUAAUUUUAAAGUUUAAUAGGUAACACCCCGAAUUUUGGCCCUAGAAGAAAUAUGUUUUGAACAAGGGAACAGUUAGGAGACUGCACAUAAAUAUUUAGUUGUGCAAGGAAGUGACAUAAAUGAAUGUCUACUUCAGUGGUUGAGUGAUUUAGGAGUGUUUGGAACUGUCUGAGAAGUCAGGGAUUCAAGCAUUGCUUAUGCAAAAUUUUUAUUUUAAGUGAAUAAAAUCAUUGGAUCUAGAUAGUAAGUUCUUAAAUUAUUGUGGUUAAAAUAUGAUGCAAAAGAGUUGUUGGUCUAGUGGUAAGGGGUGUGUGGAGUGCACAUAGGGCCUAAGGUUCGAGUGGUGGCGCAUCAGAAAGGAAAUAUUUAUUUUGCUACUUGAGCUGUUUAGGUAGUGGAGUUGGACUGAAACACAACUAAGGGGAGUUUGCAUAGAAUUUGAAUGGAGUUGUUGGGGGAGUUGAGGAGAAACCGGUAGAAUAAUUUAAGGAGGGAUAAGGGGAGAGAUUUUAGGAGAAAAUCAAGGGAAGUGAGGGGAGUGAAGAAGUGUGCCGAAAGUGGACUUUGAUACUCAGGAAAUUUGGCCAGAAGGGAUACUGCUCAUUUUGGUAUACUUUUCAUUUCGGUUUUGUGUAGUGUUUCUCUCUCUUUUUGCUUUUUGGUGCCGAAUUUUUGCUAAGAUUUCGAGUACCACUCGGGUUUUUCUUUUGCUGCUUUUUUCUUUUAUCAUUUCUUUUGUUUUGGCCGAAUUUCUUUUUAGUUCCCUCCUUUGUCGAAUUCUUUUCUCUCUUCUCUUUGUUGCUUCUUUUCAUUUCUCUAUUUUUCCAAACCUUGACCGAACAGUGUUGAAGUAGUUCUGUGUUCCAUCUUUUGUCUAAAAUGCUCUUCUUCCUCUACUCCUUUUGAUCAACUAUUUGUCGAAUAUUGCCUUCUCUCCCCUUUUAUCUCUUUAAAUUUAUUUUCGGCUUGACAACAAUUCUCUAACAGUUCAAAUUUCUUGAGGAGUGAAAAAGUAUCGCAUAAUAUUAAAGUCAUCGAAACCUUUCUCUCAUCACUCGAUCAAAGGUAAGUAUGUAGGCUAGCAUUCUAAAGUGUAGGCUGAGUGCUUUCUAUGGUUUCAUAAGUUAUUAUGUUUGGAUUUAAACCACAUGAAUAAACAAUCCUAUUUAAUAAAAUCCGUUUGUAAUGCAGAUAUCCAUCAAAGAGAUUGUAGUCAACCUUCGUCAGUGAUAUAAGUAGGCUAAGUCACAUUUGACAAUCGAGGCUUUGGUGCUCGUGGAUCUUAGAGUGUUUUCACAAUCAGGUGUGUAAACACCCCACUGUAACCGUAGAACGACAAAAAGCUAAAAGGCCAAAAAUACGGUGUUUGAGACCACACAGGCGUGCGAUCUCUCAUGUGGUAAGCCCAACCCACAAAUCAUGGCCGAUAGACUGUAGAGGCCUCCAUGAACAUUUCCAUGGGCUUAGGCCGUAAUGGGCCACGUUGGGCCGAAAUGGGUCGUGUGGGUUCAAUAGGCUCGUGGGCACCAUACAGAUGAGAACCACGAUUUGUGAAAAAUACUGGACUGGGCUAUGAAGAUCUCAUAGCCGUGGAAAAAUCUGGGCUGAACAGGCCGCACAAGCGUGCGGGCCUACUUGGGCCGAGUAAUGGGCCUUAGGCCCAUUUGUACCAUUAUGACCAUUUAGGUUACCUGAGUCGCUCGAGGUAACUACGGACCUUUCGAGAGGUCGAUAUCUGCACCAAGACCCAAAAUAGGUAAAAUGAUCGAAAUACCCCUAUAGAGUAAAAUGACCGAAAUACCCCCAAAGGAUAAAAUGAUUGAAAUACCCCUAUAAGGUAAAACGAUCGAAAUACCCCCGUAGGAUAAAAUAACUAUUAUACCCCUAGAAGAUGAAAUGACUGUUAUGGCCUUAUGCUAUGUAUGACUGUUUUGCUCUAUGAUAUGUAUGACUAUGGUUGAGCAUGACAUUUUUCAUACACGUAUGAUAUUAUGUCAUGAUAUAUUGCAUGGGGAUGGAUUGUUAUAUUUGGAGGAAGUGUACUGUACUGACAAGGUUGCACGGGUCGCCCAAGACGACUGUGGACCUACUGAUGGCUAUAUGCCAUUUAUUUUACUGGCAGCUUUGCUGCAAUACUGUUUAAUGCUGCAACUGGUGCUAAUCUUGGUGUGUUUGGAUGGAUGGGUAGAUUUUAUCCCCCAUAUGGUGUGUUUGGCGGAACUGUAACACCCUUAACCUGAAUCCAUUCUGACAUUGUCUCACAAAAUUUAUUAUAUCUCAUAGUUUACAAUUUUAUUACUUACACCAUUUCUUCCAUGAGAAACUAGACUCAAUAAGUUUUAAUUCUAUAUUUUAUUCAUACUCUAAUUCGAUUUUCAUAAUUUAUGGUGAUUUUUCAAAGUGAGCCUACUGUUGUUGUCCAAAACUAUUUUAGUACAAGAUGUUUAUUACCAUGUUUAUAACACCCUUAUUUUCUUUCUCUACACUAUUUCUCAUCCCUUUCUCUUAUUUUCUCUUCACUUACAUAUUAAGAACAUAGGACCAUAUAUACAAAAAAACUUUACACUAACAUCAUUUCCAUACUUUUUCAAUAAUAUCAAACUUAAAAAUAUACUAAAAUCUUGAUGUACUUACCUUGUCAUAUUGAUUUUAAUCUUUAACUUGAUUUUCUCUCUCCUCCAGCUUCUAUUUCUUGAAUCUAACUUGAUAUUAUAGCUCCCCAUAGUCUCCUUGUAAUCUUUCUCUCUUGAUGGAUAUGGAAAUUCUUUUGAUUUCUAGAUGAAAAUAGUGAAUUUUUGGUGAAAGGACUAAAUUGUAAAGAAAGCAAAACUUUCUUUCUUCUCUUCUCCUCUUAACGUGAAUUGCAUGGAAAAGAUGGUGGGUUGGUUCCUUUUCAUCUUUCUUUCCACAUAUAUAUACUAAAUAAUAAAAUAAUAAAAUAUCAUUUAAAAAUCAAAUUAAAAUACUAAUAAACUAAUAUUUAUUUGUUUAUUUAAUCUAAAAUAUCUCCAACAUCAUCAUUAUCUUCUAGAUUUCUCUCUCUUCUAAUUGACCAUUUUGCCCUUCAUGAUAUUUUAAAAUUCCAUCCUUGAGUCAUCACUUAAUUUCGUAAAAUUUCAAUUUAGUCCCUCAAAAUUCCUCACCUUUUUUCAAUUUAGUCCUAAUACAUCCAUUUUCCUUAGUUUCUAGAUCAUUCCACCCUUAAAAUAUUUACACCAUUGGUCCUUCAAUUUUUUCAUAUUUACACUUUAACCCCUCAAUUUUUGAGUAUUUACUCUUGGGCAACAAAAUUUUUACGAUUUAAUCCUUUCUUGAGGUAAUAUGUCAUAAUAUACUUCCCAAUGUUGACAUAACUCCAAAAUUCCCUUUUUUGUCGCUUUAUUUCCUUAUUUUUUUAUAUCAAAGAUAAUAUCUUACUGUAAAAAUUUUUUUGGGGGGUAUUACAUUUCUCUCCCCCUCAAAAUAAAUUUCGUCCUCGAAAUUUCCUUAUUUUCUUUUGAUCAUGAACUUAUUUUUUCUUUAAUUCUAUAGUUCAUUUUUUUUGCAUAUAUUUACUUAGCUUAUCAUUUGUGUCUAUUCUUUAUUCUUUCAUUUCACAAUUUAUUUUUAAUUUAAUAUUUCAAACAUGAAUCAGAGAUAAACUUUUACCUUGUAACUAAAAUUAUUUACCUUUUUACCUGAGGCCCAGUGGACUAAAUAGAACACGUAGGAUAUAUGAAAUUGAUACAGAAGUGCUCUGUUAUACAUCAUUAAACAGAGAGCACUAAAGUGUUAUACGGGAGCAUAAAUGUGCUAAUAAUUGGAGAGCACUAGCGUGCUAUUAAUCAGAGAGUGCGCUAAGGUUCCUUAAUGAUAUACUACUAAUAUCCUAAUAGUUCUAAUCUCAUCUACUUGGGCAAAUUAUAUCAUGCAUGCAUACGACUUUUACACUUUGCGCAUAAUGCUUUUACAUACUUUACAAUUUAAACCUUGUACCAAUGAUUCGUAUAUUUAUACCUUCUCUACCUUUAAUACAUGUAAUAUAUUUCAAAAUUCACUAAUAAUCCAUAUAUAUCAUGUACUUCAUAUAUCAUUUUUACAUAUUAUGCAAUUUAGUCAUCAGCGCAAUAUUUCUUGUAGCAAUAUGUUUUUCUUUUAAUGACACAUAUAACAUUCAUCAUCGACAUGUAUUAUAAAACAUUUAUUCAUACUUUCAUGAGUUCCAAUUCAUCCUAAUCAAUUUUUUUUACUCAUAUACUUGAGUAUCACUUUCAACAUUAUCAGAAUUAGCUCGGUUAGGAAAACAUCUCUGUUUAUAAGUAAAACAAUUCUCAUCAGACUCGAGAGAUAUCACACUAUCACAGGUUACAUAAUGGCAUGCAUUUCUAGACUUCACAUAAGCUACGUUUGGUCCAAGAACCGACUAAAUCGUAGCUCUGAUACCAAUAAAUGUAACACUCUUAACCCGAAUCCAUUCUGACAUUGUCUCACAAAAUUUAUUAUAUCUCAUAGUUUACAAUUCUAUUACUUACACCAUUUCUUCCAUGAGAAACUAGACUCAAUAAGCUUUAAUUCUAUAUUUUAUUCAUACUCUAAUUCGAUUUUCAUAAUUUAUGGUGAUUUUUCAAAGUGAGCCUACUGUUGCUGUCCAAAACUAUUUUAGUACAAGAUGUUUAUUACCAUGUUUAUAACACCCUUAUUUUCUUUCGCUACACUAUUUCUCAUCCCUUUCUCUUAUUUUCUGUUCACUAACGUAUUAAGAACAUAGGACCAUAUAUACAAAAACUUUACAUUAACAUCAUUUCCAUACUUUUUCAAUAAUAUCAAACUUAAAAAUAUACUAAAAUCUUGAUGUACUUACCUUGUCAUAUUGAUUUCAAUCUUUAACUUGAUUUUCUCUCUCCUCCAGCUUCUAUUUCUUGAAUCUAACUUGAUAUUAUAGCUCCCCAUAGUCUCCUUGUAAUCUUUCUCUCUUGAUGGAUAUGGAAAUUCUUUUGAUUUCUAGAUGAAAAUAGUGAAUUUUUGGUGGAAGGACUAAAUUGUAAAGAAAGCAAAACUUUCUUUCUUUUCUCCUCUUAACGUGAAUUGCAUGGAAAAGAUGGUAGGUUGGUUCCUUUUCAUCUUUCUUUCCACAUAUAUAUACUAAAUAAUAAAAUAAUAAAAUAUCAUUUAAAAAUCAAAUUAAAAUACUAAUAAACUAAUAUUUAUUUAUUUAUUUAAUCUAAAAUAUCUCCAACAUCAUCAUUAUCUUCUAGAUUUCUCUCUCUUCUAAUUGACCAUUUUGCCCUUCAUGAUAUUUUAAAAUUCCAUCCUUGAGUCAUCACUUAAUUUCGUAAAAUUGCAAUUUAGUCCCUCAAAAUUCUUCACCUUUUUUCAAUUUAGUCCUAAUACAUCCAUUUUCCUUAGUUUCUAUAUCAUCCCACCCUUAAAGUAUUUACACCAUUGGUCCUUCAACUUUUUCAUAUUUACACUUUAACCCCUCAAUUUUUGAGUAUUUACUCUUGGGCAACAAAAUUUUUACGAUUUAAUCAUUUCUUGAGGUAAUAUGUCAUAAUAUACUUCCCAAUGUUGACAUAACUCCAAAAUUUCCCUUUUUGUCGCUUUAUUUCCUUAUUUUUUUAUAUCAAAGAUAAUAUCUUAGUGUAAAAAAAAAUUUUUUGGGUAUUACAGGAACAGAGUGGUGUGUAGAGGCUGGAUUGGGUAGGAUUUCUAACUGCAUAUCUACACUAAUUAAUGAUUUUGUAUUGUUACUACAUCGAUUAAUGAUAUUACAUACUGUUUACUGCAUGACUGAUAUUUGUUGCUGUUAUGGGCCAAGGCCCCACUGAUACUAUUACUGAAAUUGGGCAAAUGCCCUAUUGAUUAUUGGUAUUGUGAUGGGCUCAAGCCCAAUCGUUUAAUGUUACGGGAAAGGGCUUAGGCCCACACUGAACUGGACUGUUACUAUAACAGGCUCAGGCCCAAACUGUAUUUAUCUAUUGUUUAAUUGACUACUUACUUGUUAGGGGAUUGCACACUGAGUUUUCGUAAACUCAACCCGUUGUUUAACUGUACAGGUAAUCCCUAGUUGUAGUAGGGUCAGUGCUGCGAGGGACUCGAUGAUGGCCACACAACUGCAUCAGCUUUUGUUUUUAGCCUUUGAUUUAUAAGAAACUGAAUUUGGGUAUUUUUAUGUAAAAAGGCCUCUUUAAAGUUAUAAACUUUAAAUUGGGGUUUUUAUUUAUUUAGUUUGAUAUAAACUACUAGUUGUAGAAAAAGACGGGUUUUCAAAAGGUAAAUGUUUUCAAAGUUUCAAAAGGUAAAUGUUUUCAAAGACACCACGUUUUCGCAACAUUUCUAAAAAAAAACUUCCGCAAUGAAUGAGAUUUUGGAAAAUUUAUAACGUUUUAAAAGUGAUUAGCUUUUAAUGAUGCAUGCUUGGAAAUGAACAACCCGUUUUGGAAUCAUAGUUUAACAGCAAAAUGAUUAAUUGAUUUUAAAGAUUUCAACGACAACAAGUUUUACGCUAAACACCUUAAAGUGACACCGCCAGAUUCAACCAUAACUCCUAGGCCGGGUUUGGGGUGUUACAAUGUGUUUCAACCCUAUUAUUAGAAACUGAUACCCUAUUAUUAGAAACUGAUAAUGGAAACACAACUUUUAAUUAGAAACCUCUAAUUUUAAAAUUCAAUAGGUAAAAGCAAGUUAUCGUUAAGUGCCUGUGAUACGCUAGUAAAACUCAUUCUAGAAAAAAAAGUUUAAUGGAAACAAUUGUUAUCCAUUGCGUAUAGAGGAUGAAUUUGAAUACUAUUAAUUAAGUUCAUUGUUUAUUGUUUAAAUGUCUAAAGUAAGGGAGACAUUAAAAGAACUCUACCUUUAUAAACAUAAGAAGUGGUGCCACUUCAACAAGUAAAGGUAGGGUCUCUCUUGUAAAUGUUUAUUAUGAACAAGAUAAGCACAUGAUCAUUUUAGUGCUAAAAGUGAACAACCUCUGAUAGAAAUAUAAACGAAUAUUAUGUAUAGUGUAUUUCAACUUCUAAUACUAGGAGUUGUGGUUCAAUCUUCGGACACCGACAACUUAUUAAAACUUUGAAAAGCAUCCGCUUAUUGAUGGUUCAUAUUGAGAGGUAUCAUCUUUAAUGCAUAAUAUUUGUUUGAGUGAAUGACCAUAAAGUAUGGUACCAACAUUUAAACUAAGGGUGAUUGUUAGUAGUUUAUAAUUUUGGCAGUAAAAAUAUUUUAUUAUGUAGAAAAGUCUAAUAAAUUAUAAUUAUUGGUCAAAUAGUUGUGUUGUAAAGACAAUUUUUGUAUGUAAAGUUGUCUUAUAAACUUUAUGUAAAGUUGUGUUGUAAAACAACAAAAUUAUAUGAAAAUGUAUCUUAUUAAAAGAUACAUCCAUAUGAAAGGGUAUCUCAUGAAAAGAUACACCUAUUAGAUGUCUAUAUAAAAGAUUUUUCUGUUAGUUAUUUAAAUUGUUUUGCUUGGAGUGUUGAGGGCUUUGUUGUAUCUUGAAGGUAUUUUAAAAUCUUAAAGAAAGUGCUCUACACACCUUAAAGUCAUUAUAUUUUAUAACAUUAUUUUAUUUUUCUAACUUUUAUUUUCCUAUUAUUUAUUUUUCUAACAGCUAGAAUAUAGGAAAAUUAUUAUGUUUCUAGCUAUAUAUUGAAUACAAGUAUGUUGGUGUUUAGAACUCGAACUUUGAUGGUUGAUCGAGAGAUUUGAAGCAGAAAGAAGAGACGGGAAGUUUUAAGUAGAAAAAUAAUUGAAGACUGGAAUAUAUAAUUGAUUUGCACCUCAACUAUUUAAAUACAAAAGUUCAAGCUAAAAAUAGAAAAAAAAAGUUCUAAAAAUCUGCUAAAAAUCUGGUAACAAAAUAGCAAACAAAUCAAAAAUCUAAUCUCCUAAAGUCAAGGAGAAUUAUUCAAACUUAGUAACAGAAAAAAUUUAAAUGGCAGCAAUCUUAAACACAUGAUCUUAACACUCCUCCUUGUUUAGAUGCUACAAACUCCAAGUUUCUUCCUGAAGCUUUCAAACUUGCUAAGUGGCAAUGGUUUGGUGAAGAUAUCUGCAAUUUGAUCUUCAGAUUUGUAGUAACAAAGAGACACAUCACCACUCUUUUAAACUUCUCGAACAAAAAAUAACUUGAUGUUAAAAUGCUUAGUCUUCCCAUGAAAGACUGGAUUGUUAGAGAUUGCAAUGGCAGCCUGGUUAUCAACUAGAAUCUUUGUGCUUUGCUUCUACUCCAUGUUUAGAUCAACAAGAAUCUUCCUUAACCAGAGAGCUUGGUUAACUGUUGCUGUUGCAGCCAUAAAUUCUGCCUCAACAGUGGAUUGAGCUACAGUUUCUUGCUUCUUCGAGCUCCAAGAGAACAUGCCUGAUCCAAGGCAAAAACAAUAACCAGAGGUACUCUUCAUAUCAUCAGUUAAGCCACCCCAAUCACUGUUAGAGAAACCAAUCAACUUCAAUUCCCUAUGCUUUAAAAACUUUACUCCAUAAUUCCAGGUCCCCUUGAUGUAUCUGAUAACUCUUUUUGCAGCUCUCAUGUGAGUCUCAUUGGGACAAUGCAUGAAUCUGGAGAGAAUACUUACAGCAUUCAAGAUGUCGAGUCUGGUUGUUGUUAAGUACAUUAGACAACCUACCAAACUCCUGAACUCAGCUUCAAUGACUUUGGCAGAACCAUCAUCUUUGAUUAGCUUCUCUUUUUGAUUCAUAGGAGUACUCAUUGCUUUGCAAUCUUCCAUAUGGAAUUUUCUAAGUAUCUCCUUUGCAUACUUUCUUUGACAGAUGAACACUUCAUCUUGGCUUUAUUUGAUCUCAAUGCCAAGGAAAUAAGACAUCAGAUCAAGGUCUGUCAUUUCGAAGACAUUAUGCAUUUCCAAUUUAAACUGAUUAACUUGAUCGAUAUUGCUCCUUGUAAUCAAUAAGUACAAAUAAGCAAGCUUUUUCCUUUGAUUUCCUUAUCUUCUUUUCUUUUUGUGCUUUAAUCUGUGCCACAGUAGGAUUUGCUGGAAGAGGUGGGACCUCGUAAUCCUCUUCUACAGGUUCCCAAAGAUCCAAAGCCUCUAUGUAAGUCUCCAUGCGAACUGCCUACAUCUGGUAAUUGUCUCCAUCGAAGACUGGUGGUGCAGCAACUGAAAAACUGGACCCUCCUUCCAUAUUAACACGCAAAUAACCUAACAAAUCCCUCAAGAAAAUAGCUCUGAUACCAAUUUGUUGGUGUUUAGAACUCGAACUUUGAUGGUUGAUCGAGAGAUUUGAAGCAGAAAGAAGAGACGGGAAGUUUUAAGUAGAAAAAUAAUUGAAGACUGGAAUAUAUAAUUGAUUUGCACCUCAACUAUUUAAAUACAAAAGUUCAAGCUAAAAAUAGAAAAAAAAUGUUUUAAAAAUCUGCUAAAAAUCUGGUAACAAAAUAGCAAACAAAUAAAAAAUCUAAUCUCCUAAAAUCAAGAAGAAUUAUUCAAACUUAGUAACAGAAAAAAUUUAAAUGGCAGCAAUCUUAAACCCAUGAUCUUAACAAAGUACUACUUGGAAGCCAACACCCACAAACAUGAUAAAAGUUAAUUUUGAUGAGAGUUUUGACAUGGAAGCAAGAAAUGAGGAAGAGGGUAGUUAUGCAGCAUUGUGAUGAUUUUUUAGUCUGACUAUGCAACCAUCCAAUUUAGGGUGCAUUCUCCAUUGUGGUGAAAAAGCACUUAAAGAACAUUUGGUUUUUGCACUUAAAAUGUGAUGGAAAAAUGUUUUUCCACCCAAAUACAAAAACUAGGAUAUAAAUGUUUUUGACUUUUAGCUUUUAUGUUUGGAAGUGAAAAUUAUCAAAAUAUCAUUAUUUAUAUUAACUAUUUAAAUGGUAUAUAAAAAUUAGAUUAAUUUAUAUUUUAUAUAUCAUUAUAUUAAAUUAUUUAAAUAUUAUUUAUUAUUAUAUAUUUUAAUAAUUUAUAUAUCAUCUAUUUUACAAAUAAUUUAUAUUAAUUACUUAAAAAAUAUUUGGAACUUAUAUUUCAUGUAUCAUUAUAUUAAAUUAUUUAAAUAUCACAUAAUUUAACUAAUUUUUUACUUUCCACUAUCAUGUCUAAAGAAAAGGAUAUUUUAACUUUUAACAAGAAUUUUUUGUAGCAAUGGAGAACACCAAAAAUUAAUAAACACACUUUUUCAUAGUAAUUUUCAACCACACUUUUCAACCGCAACCCUAAUGAAGAAUUAAUCCUUACUAAAGUUACCGAAGCACUAGCUUCCACCGUAGCCAUUGAAAUGGCGCUCCAAUUGGGAUUGCAACACAUUAUUAUUAAAGGAGAUGCUCUCCAAGUGGUUUCGGAGUUGAAGGAAGACAAAGGAGACCUACCAACAACCGGACCUUGAUAGCAAAGAGUUGAAUACUUGCUAAACAGGUUCAGCAAUGUAGGUUUCAACACAGGAAGAGGCAUGCUAAUGAGGUGGCACAUCAUCUGACCAAACAGGGCCUUAAUUGUUUUCCAUCUUUUGUUCAUAUGUUUGUUUUGAAAAGGUAAAACAAAUCCUCACCUAUUGAUGUUAGAACGGUUGAAUUGCUAAAAGCAUGCUGCAUGCAUAACCAUGCUUUAGGUUAGGCUUCAAAUUAAAUAAAUUUUAAAUUAUUUUUAUUUAAAUUUAAUUAUAAAAAUAAAUUAAUAUCAAUAGAAAAUUAUAUAAAAUUUUAAGAUAUUUUAUUUUUCAAUAAUAAAACGAAUCAUUCACCAAACCUAAUUCUUCAAUUUCUUUUUAAUUAGAUCACAACUCAAGCCAAGCUAACCAAUAAACACCCAAAAUCUACCAUCAUUUUCAUUUUCAUUUUUUUUUCUUUUGUGACAAAGUAGACAGAAGAUUCGGUUUGGAUAAGCUCUACGUUAUUAAGUCAAAAGCUGAAGUAAUUUUAAUCAUAAAUUGUUUUAUUUGUCUAUAAUGCAAAACAAUGACCCAGUUAGUACAAUAAAGCUUUAACUUUGUGGAACAUUUCAGUCCAAAAAAAAAAAAAAAAAGAAUUGUGGAAAUUUUAGAGCAGUUGACCAUUUCUUCGGAAUUAGUUUUCUCACUUCUUGUCCAUAUUCCAUGUAUAUUAUUUCAAGAAAUUAGGUUUAGAAAUUUGCAUAAUUCAACCAUUGAACUAAUAAAUAUUAAACAAAAAUUGGGUGGCAAAAAAAAUCUUAUUAAAAUCAUAUACUAUUACUAAAAUUUAUGAUUAAAUUAGUGUCACGAGUUAACGGGACAUUAACAAAUUAUAUUAUUUGAGGGUAUUUUAAUCUUUUUAUUAAAAAAGAUGAUGUCUCAAAUUAACUCACAAUCUAAUCUAAUUUUUCAUUUUAAUAUUGUAAAUAUUUCAUGUUUUAUUAUUAAUUUGUUUCAAAUUAUACAUUUCAUUAUUUAUUUUAUGUUAUUUUUAAACACAUCUGUAUUCUAAGUACCUAAUUUUCACUUAUGGGUAUCAGAGGCGAAUCUAGGGAGGCUGAUAGGGGUCUCGGUCCCCUUAAAAUAGAAAAUUAUUAUUUAAGCCAUUUAGAAAAUUUUAAAAUUUUAAAUUAGUAAAUGUAAAAUUACACUUUGACCCCUCUAAAAUUAUAAAAAUUUGAUUUAAUCCUUUAAAAAUUAUAAAGAUAUAAACUAUUAAAAAUAAAAAUUUCAUUUCGGCCCUGCCUAAAAAAUUUUUUUGACUUCACCCCUAAAGUAUGAUAGAGUUUCUAGUAUGAAUAAUUUUCUUUGGAAGUGUUAAACAAACAAAGGAGUUAAGUAAACAGUAGUUUUCAUACAGAAAUAUUCGGCGUUGAUGUUUCCCUUUCGAAUAAUUAAAUUAAGACUUAGGAAAAGGGAAAACAAUGAAAAAGAAACUAAAAUUGAGCUUAAUUUAUGGAGUUGGGUUAAAAUUUUAAUAUUUAAAUAUAAAAAUUCUAAUAAUUUGAUCUGGUCCGUUUCAUCUAGCAGACUAAUAAUAAAUCUUAAAACAUAUUAUAUUUUAAUUUAAAUAAAACCAAAACUAAUACACUUGACCUACAUCUACAUGUGAUCUAUGCUUCAUUUAAAUUAGUCUAAAUUAGACGAGAUCUUGAUUAGGAGUCAUUUAUUUAUAUUAUAAGUCCCUGAAACAUGCAAAACUUACAUUUAAAAAUUAAUAUUUUUACGUUGUUGUUAGAAUAUAGGGUUUGUUAAUGUUUUCGUGUGAAGUCAGCUGUUGACAUUACCAAUCAGAUAAUGAAAAGGAAACAUGGCAAUUAUUCCAUCCUAAUUGUCACCAAAUUAAGUUAAUCCAAAAAUUACCAAACGUUUAGUACUUCAAUGGUAGAGUCAGCUCUUUCUUCUAGUCUAUCAAAAAAAGUCAAUUUAACCCCUAACUCUUGGAUGGAAAAGUUUUUGCUAUGAACUUGUUGAAGUGAAUCUCAUGUGAUAUAAACGCAUCGCAAUCUCCGUGUGUAACUAAAAAUAUUUGAGAGAUUGAAUAAUUUAAAGGGGAAAAAAAAAGAAUUUACUCCCUCCACUAACAAAUUACUCUUGCCAACGUAUGUAUGAAAGUAAACACCUUUAAUUAAUCAACAAAUGCUAAAGUUCGAGGUUUAGAAUUAAUUAAAUACCAAUAUAAAUAGUUAAUUACUUUUUUGAAAUAAGGAUAAAUCAGUUUGUGAGGUUUGAAUUUUUUGUAUCUUAACAAUUGUUCUGACUUUAGAGUUUGAAGGUUUUUUUUUUAUCCAAAUUAACCUAUGAACUUAGUAAUUUGUCUCUCAUUAAGGUUUAAAUUUUUUAUUUAUCUAAGUUAAUUCUUAAAAAUCUUGAAAUUCGAGAAUAAUUGUCAAGUUAAAAAAAUUUAGAUUUCAAUAUGAGAAUAAUCUACUAGUUCGUAACCUUAAUAUAAAAACAAUUGUUAAGUUGAAAACUUAAUUUAAAAACAAAUUCAAACCCUUCUUAAGUUUACGAUUUAACCCUUUGAAAUAUUGCGUUAACUAGUAAGAGUAAGAAUUAUUUUGUGUUGAUGAUUAAAUAAAUAUUUAAGUGGAGAUCAAGUUUUACCUCAUUUGUCAAUUGUCAGGUGAAGAAUAUAUACCCCUAAAGGCCUAUCAAAAACGGACCUAUCUCUAUCUAUAUAUCUUAACUAAUUUACUAUUCAUUUUUAAUGAAAAUCAAUAAAUCAAUGAAAACGUUAUAAAAAGAAAACUACGUGAAUAAAUUAUAUGUGUAAAAUUGAAAUAUUUCUUAUUUUAGUACAAUGGUAAGGAACAUUACAUUUUUAAGGAAAUGAUGUCAGGUUCAAACCUUAAAGAUAAUAUUCUUCUUCUUGAGAAGAACAAUCCCAAACUCCAAAAUGAACCCUUAUGAAUUAUAUAAAAAAAUUUUGAAAUAUUUCUAUAAAAUAUCAUUAAAGUUUUUUAUUUAAAAAAUGUUAUGGGUAUACUUUUACCUCUUGUAAAAAAGUCUUUCAUUUCUCAAUUCUUAUGGCAUAGUAAAUUUAUCAUUAAUUUUCAUCUUUAGGUAAAAAAAAUGGUUAUUAUUUGUGUAUUAAAUAAUUGUUAGGAUAAAUUUUAAAAUUGUAUAUGAAUUUUGGUUUAAUGUUAAUUAUAUACAUUAAUUUUAAUUUUAUGUAAUUUUAUAAAUGAAAUUUUAAUUUGAUCCAAUUCUAACAAAUUAUUAACACAGUUAUUGAUAUAACAUCAUUUUAUGUUUAUAUGCUAUAUACAGAAAUAAUUAUGUUUAUUCAAUAUAAAAAUAAAUUGAUGUAUUUAUUUCUUUAAACAUAUAUGAUUGAAUCAAAAUUAAAACAUCGUGUAUAUAUUUGAACCACAAUUAAAAUUUUACAUAUAAAAUUACAUAAAAUUACAAUUUAUAUACGUAAUAAACUAAAAUUCAUAUAUAAUUUUAAGAUUUAUGUCCACAAUUCUCUAAAGCUAAACGGUGAUGAUUACCAUGGAAAUUCAAUGUACUUAACUAAUUGGUUGAUAGGAACAGGCAUGAUGAAAUCCAUGAUGGGAAGAGAGAGAAUUCAAAAACUGGAAUGCCCCCAUUAAUCCAUGCAAAUAAACUUUUUCGGUAUUACAUCAUAAUUCAUUUAAUUUUAUCAUCAUCUCUAUGCCAUAACCAUGUUUAAAGUAAAAUACUUAUAUAAAUUGAGACAUUAAUAGUUUGUAUUAUAUAAAUUAUGACAUCCAUAUAUCCAUAUUAUAAUUUUUAUGAAAAAUUAGAGCUGGCAGAUAAAAAAUGGCUUACUGAUCAAUGAAAAAUAAACUUUAUUUCUUGUAAAUUGACUUAUCCUUUUAAAAAGUAUAAAUAUUUUUUUAAAAUUCAUUUAUGAGUAAUUUUAUUAUUAUAAAAAUUAAUUUUGCAAAGUCUAAUAUUAUUAUAUUAAUAAUUUUAUUUUAAAACUAUUUAAAAAUACUAAUAUCAAAUAUUAUAAUGUUGAAUCCUAGUAACAUACAUAUUAAAUUAUUUAAAUUAUGUAAUAUUGCAAUUUUAUUUUAAUACUAAAUUUUAACAACAAUAAUUUUAAAUUUUAGAUCAUAUUUUUAAUAUAUUAUUGAAAAAUAUUUAUAUUAAUAUUUUAAUAAUAAAUAUAUAUAUUAAAAUUUAUAAAUAUUUAAUAAUAAAUGUUUUAUAGUAUAAAAUAUGAAUAUUUUAAUUAUAUAGAUAUGAGCAUUUGUUUAAAUCAUGUUUAGUUUCAUUUAUCUCCCAACUAUAAUGUGUUAUUAUACACCGUCAUAUAUAUAAUAUAUGUAAUUUAAGCAUUGUUUAUUAUUAAAUUUAUAUAUGAUAUUAAUUAUUAUAAAAUAUUAUCUUAUUAUAAAAGAAAUUCUAAUUAUCAAAAAGAAAUGUUACUUUAAUAUUUUGUAACAAGUAUAUUUAUGUUGGGCUUGUUUCAAUAAUAACUUUAAAAUGAUUUUAGAAAAAAAAUUGUCAAAUAAUAAAAAAAUAUUUUAAGCAAAAUAAUUCAAACACAAAAAACUAUCAACUUUUCCAUAAAAUCAAUCCAAUUUUAAGAAAACAUUUUGUGAAAAUUGUUUUAGGUAAAACAAAAGGAACCUAUAUUUUAUAUAGUAUUUGAAAAGUUGUUGUAUCUAGAAUUAUUAUCUUAAAUAUUUUUUUAGGUCUAAUUUUAAAUUUCAUCCCUUUAUGAAAAUUGAGAAGUUAAAUUUUCUAUUUUACUUUAUCAGUCUGUGCUUGAUUGUUUAUUAAUUUGUCGUGUAUAAAUGGUUAAAUUAUUGAUUUUUGUUAAUUACUAGCAUGUAAAUUGUCAAACUACUUGUUCUCAAGGGAACGGUAAAGUUUAAUAGUAUUAUCAAUUUAGAACAAUUUUUGAGUUUUUUCUUUUAUUUUUCAUGUUCGAGUCCAUAAUUACUCCUUCUAAUAAUGUCGUCUUUAAAGUUUGAGUUCGAAUUCAAAUUCUCUUUUUGGAAGUACAAUAUGCCUUAUAAUUAUACCUAAUACUUUUGAUUUUUGUAAAAUAUAAGAAUCAAAAUUGUGUAGUAGGAUUAAUUUCUAGAUUUUUUAAAUUUAAAAUUUAUAAUAUUAUCAAUCGCAUCACACACAAAACCAAAGAACAAGAGAAUCUAAAAAACACGUGGACCAUUAAUUUAGGAAUGGACAUUAUAUUUUAUUAGUGGAAUAAACUCAUGCAAAAUGGUUGGAAAACACAUACAGGAUUAUAUAUACUAAUCAUUUUUAUUAUUAAGCAGAAUCGGAAAUAAAUAAAUACGAGCGAAACCACUGAAUAAUACAGCAUUGAAAUGCAAUUUGUCUACAUCAUUAUUGUUCUUCACUUCAAACGCGGAGACUAGUCUAGGCUCCCAAUCUUUUGCUUUAUCUCUCUAGAUAUAUCCUUUUCAAACUAUCUUUUUGUAGCUUUAUUUGCAUCACAGCAUUAUCUUUUCCUGCAAACAACUGUUCAAUGAUUAAAACAUGCAAAACAUUCUGAAAUAAUGCACCCUUACCAGAUGACAAAAAAAAAAAAAGAUUCUAAUGUAUCUUACCUUGGAUUGGAGCACGGUCAAAGCCGUGGCUUAGUAGUGGUGAGGAGGAGGGGGUGAAGCGUAGACAUAAUGGGGUGGUGGUGGUGGAGGAGACUUGUAUUUGUAAACUGGAGGAGGAGGUGGUGGAGACUUGUACUUGUAAGGGUGCUUGGGGGGUGAUGGUGGGGGUGGUGGGGGUGACUUGUACUUGUAGGGGUGCUUGGGUGGUGACGGUGGGGGUGGGGACUUGUACUUGUAAGGAUGCUUGGGGGGUGAUGGUGGUGGUGGUGGAGGUGACUUGUACUUGUAGGGGUGCUUGGGUGGUGACGGUGGGGGUGGGGACUUGUACUUGUAAGGGUGCUUGGGUGGUGACGGUGGUGGUGGUGGGGGGGACUUGUACUUGUAGGGAUGCUUUGGUGGGGAUGGUGGUGGUGGUGGUGGGGACUUGUACUUGUAGGGAUGCUUAGGUGGUGAUGGUGGUGGUGGUGGAGACUUGUAUUUGUAAGGAUGCUUUGGUGGUGAUGGUGGUGGAGGUGGUGGGGACUUGUACUUGUAAGGGUGCUUGGGUGGUGAUGGAGGUGGAGGUGGUGGAGACUUAUACUUGUAAACUGGAGGUGGUGGGGGUGGAGACUUGUACUUGUAAGGGUGCUUGGGUGGUGACGGAGGUGGAGGUGGUGGAGACUUAUACUUGUAAACUGGAGGUGGUGGGGGUGGAGACUUGUACUUGUAAGGGUGCUUGGGUGGUGAUGGUGGGGGUGGGGGUGGCGACUUGUACUUGUAGGGGUGUUUAGGUGGUGAUGGUGGUGGUGGUGGUGGUGGUGGGGACUUGUACUUGUAAGGAUGCUUGGGUGGUGAUGGUGGUGGAGGAGACUUGUACUUGUAAGGAUGCUUGGGUGGUGAUGGUGGUGGAGGUGGUGGAGACUUAUACUUGUAAACAGGAGUUGGUGGGGGAGGAGAUUUGUACUUGUAAGGUUUCUUGUGUGGUGGUGGUGGUGGAGGAGAGUAGAUCGGAGGAGGCGGUGGGGGAGACUUGUAAUGGUAGGGUGGUAGUGGGUUCUUCUUAGGAGGUGGUGGAGGAGAAGAAUAGGUGUAAUCUGCUGAGGUUUCAAAAGGCAAACUGAGAGAAACUGCUAGAACUAAAAGAGUGACAAAGAGAGAGGUCAUUGAUGACCCCAUUUUCCCCAUCUUUACUUCUAAAAAUGGGUUUAAUUUG
rnacentral:lncRNA from 1 species